AGAAAAAAAAGUAUAAAAGAAAAUUAGAAGAAAAGAAAAAAUAAAAGAAAAUAAAAAAUAGAAUUAAAAUCAGAUAAUCAUUUUAUAUGCUAUUUCAAACUUAUUUUACUUAUUUUUCCUCCUUCAUAUAAAAAUUAAAUAAUUUUAAAAAAUAUAAAUUUUUAACUAAUUUUUGUAUAUUUUAGUUUCUUUCCUAUUUUUCAUAUUGAAACCAAAUAUAUAAAAAAUCAUUUUCUUUAAUACUUUCGAAAACUAAACAUCACAUUAGUUUUCUUGUCUGCUAAGUAAGGCUAAAAAUAGUUUUUCUUGCACAUGGGAUGGUUCAAUAUACAUGUAAAAUAUAAGAGAGUCACUCAAAAAUCAUCCAAAACUUUGGAGGUAAACCAUUAGUUAAUAGAAUGGAGUCAUUAGGCAUUGGACUCAAAUCUGGUUUCAAAAAAGCUCUGCAACAUAAAAGAUUAAGCCCUCUGGAAUCAACCUACUUUUAUUGGAUCUUCAUUCUGGUUGGUGAAAUAAGAGUUGAAGUGGAUAUCAUAUUCAGCAAGUCGGCCAUCCGCCUAAUGCUUCAAACCUCAUGAUGCUUUAUUGCUUUUUGUAUUUCUAUGUCCUAAGAUGGCGAUGGUUCACCAAAAAAGCUGAGGAUUCGUCAAGGCUGACAUAUCCAAGAUUGUAAUUUGUAACAACUACAACUUAAAGCCCUGUUUGGUUUAAAGGAAAAUAUUUCUUUUCUAGGGUCUACAUUUCCACCAUGACGUGGAUUCUUUGACACCCAAAAUGAGGGAUUUGCUAAACAUCUAGUGGUCCAAAACACCUCUUGAUUUUAGUUUUUACACUCUUCAUGUGCUUCAAAUAAUGUUAAGGGUUGCAUUAGAAGAUAAUUUUUGUUGAAGUGUUUAUUAUCUUGAAGAAGAAAUUGUUAUUCGAUAAACAAAAUCUUUAAAUACUAUUAUAUUGUUGGUUUAUAACAAUAAAUUAAUUAUUUGGAUUAUAUAUAAUUAUGCAAUAUUUGCUCUUAUUUAAAGUAUGACAUGUAUAUGAAUUUGAAUUCUUUUAGGAAAAUUGAAUCAUUGGGCUAUCCUAAGCACAAAUAUCAUCAAAAUUAUAUCGAGUGUACGAUCACCAAAGUGACACAUUGAAUAUAAUUUCAAUAUAUGGCACUUGGGAUAGUGGCAAAAUCAAUUUUUGGCAAUAGAUAGAAGGAUUGUGUUGGCAUUUGGUAAGGAUAAAACAAUUACUAAAUCCAAAAGUUUGUCAUUGAGUUUCUUGAUUAAGUGGAUGAAGAUAAUUAAUAUAAGCCAUAAAAAUAAUAAAUUAUAUUUCCCUAAGGGGUUAUGUAUUUUCUAAUCAUAUUAUUUAAUGAUUAAUUACCGUUAAAGGUGAAUAAGGACUUCUAUGAUGGAAGACUAUAUAUAUGUAAUUUGAUCACAUUAAGAGUUAAAUUAUUUUGAGGCAUAUUGAUGAACUUCGGAAAGUUCAAUGAAAGUUUCAUUAAUUAAUCAAUUAGAUUUUGAACUAAAUUAAAUUACCUAAAUAUUUGAUAGGUUUAAGUCACUUAAGCUCAACUAGAGAACCAUAUAAAUACUUUUUUAGAGGUUAGGGUUUUCAAUAAAGUUGUCUUCCAUUCUCCAGAGAGAAAUGAGAGAGUUUUAGCCUCUACCCUUCUAAAUACCCACUUUUAGAUUGUCAAGAUCAAGGUAGGGUCAUCGCAACGGAAGUUCAUGGGUCUACAGAACAUCUAGAGCAUUCAUUUUGAUUCUACAUCGAAAUGAAGGGAUUUGGGAAUGUCCAAAUCUAAAGUAUUGUAUUCUAUAGCACUUCAUCUAAAUCUUUCGUUUAAGAAUAUGCUUGUUUCCACUUUGCAUAAGAUUUAGAGAAAGCUUAUGAAGAUUCACAUGUACUUAACUUGAUCCAAUUAUAAAGAAUAAAGAGAUCCUAGAUUCCCUACAUUGAUAACACUACAUUUAUUAAAUUACAGGCACCAAUUUAUAAGGAAUCCACAUUUAAUGGAUGGUAAGUCACAAAUCCGAGCUUCAAUUCAUUGUAAUUUUAUAAAAUACUAGAAUGCAAUUGAUUUUCUUUAAUUAGUUAAGUAUUAAACCAACUUUAGAAUUGGAUUUUAAAUAAAUCGGUAUUUUUCUAUGACUUCCAACGGUCCCUACACGAGCUCUUAAUUCAUAAAAGCACAUUUUAUUUAAGAGAUUUGGAUUUGUGAUUCACAAGUGUGUAUAAGGGUAUUUUGGUAAAAAUGUCAAAUUGCACUAAAUCUUAUGAAUUGACUUUCUAGCCAAAUGGGCUAAAUUAAGUAACACAAACUUAAUUUGAGCUCAAGUUACUUAAGUUUAGGAUGAACCCUAUAUAAACCCCUGGGUUUAGGGUUUAAACCUUUUGCCAUUCUAUCUUCUAGAAUAAAUAUUUUAUGUUGUAUUGCUUUCCGUGUUUGCAUAUUUUAAGAUGAUGAUGGUUCACCAGAAUAACUUGGGAUUGGUCAAGGCUGGUGUAUACAAGAGUGUAACAAGAAUACCUUCAAGCCCUGUUUGGUUCAAAGGAAAAUAUUUUGUCUUCCAGGAUCUACAUUUCCACUAUGGCAUGAAUUUUUCACAUUGGAAGUAAAAUAUUGCCUUAUAACACGAUUCAGAAUAAGAACAAAUAGAAUGUAGAAAGUUGUCAUGAUAUUGCCCUUCUAAAAAUAGGCUACAGCCUACACCACUGAUGAUAAUCACUAAAUAUUAUGAAAAUUAUCUGAUACACUACUAUAAUUUGACCCGAGGGUUUUUUACAAGCAUUCAUACCGUCAGAAACUCCAUGAAUACACAACUAUAAUUUGAACUGAAGGUUUUUUUACAAGCAUUUAUACAGUCAGAAACUCCAUGUACACAACCAACUAUUCACAUUCUAUAUAAACUACAGCCUUACAAUUAAAUAAAGAAAAAACAACAGCCUAAUCUCUUUCUUUAUCCUAUUUGGAACUGAGAAGAGAGCAAGAUGCAAGUGACCAGUUUUUUCUUUUCGCGUUUCGUUCAAGAGUUCCUAACUCAAUUGACCUUGUCAGCAGAUUAAGGAGAAGCAGAUGGGCCAGGAAGGGUGGGGUUGGCAAGCUCUUCAUUCAGCCUCAUUGGAAGAAUGGACUUGGCAAGCUCUUCAUUCAGCCUCAUUGGAAGAAUGGACUUGGCAAGCUCUUCAUUCAGCUUCACUGGAAGUGGUGGCAUCUGCUUCAUUGCCUUGGGUUCAUCAUUCAAGCUGCAAAAUUUAUUUUAGUUAGCAGCAGCCAAAUAAGUGAGCAUGUGAUCGCAUAUAAUUUGUAUUCAAUAGUGUAGUAACACAAAGCAUUGUACUCAAUUAUGCUCAAUAUUUAUUUUGGUGUAUUUUUGGACAGAUUAGGGAACCAGGUGGCCCCAUAAUGUUUUACAAGGUACAUUUGAAGGAAUAAAUCUACCAUCGAGGGGAGAAGCAGGGCUCAAAGAAUGUGCCAAGGCUAAUUGUAUGUGAUUAAGUUUAGGUCCCCUAGAUUUGACACUCCCAAUUUUACUUCACUGCUGUGAGAUUGUUUUCAUCCUAAAAUGGUACAAAAGGGACCUAAUCAAUUCCCAACAUCAAAAUAGUAUCAUUAUUGGAGGCUUCAAAUAAUGUGCUGACUACUGAAAUGUGUCUUCUAAAAUGAAGAGGGGCUGUGGGUGGGGUGGCACUUCUACUUGUCUUGCCCAUGCUGCUAUAUGGGAUGCAGAAGGAUUCAAUACAUUACAAGAUGUUGAACCACAAAAAUUCUUAAAACACGAUAGCAUGGACAAGACUAAUUUAGAAGUAGGUAAUUUAUUAAAGGCUAUUGCAAGCGUAUUAGUGUGUUGGCAAUUCCGGGUCAAAAUUUUCACUGUGCUUCUCCUAGAUCAGUCACAUCAAGUCCUCCCUUGGACUCUUGCCUCUUCUAAAUUGUUCAUAAUUGAAGAUUGUUAUAGGAGAUGGUAAGUGUUUUUGAGGCGUUGAAUGAUAGCAAACAUUAGUCAAUCUGUUUUAAACUUUUAUCCACUUAUUGAAAAAGGUUUGGCCUACCCUCGCUAAACACCAAUUGGUUUUCAGAUGAGAUGGUCAACGCCCGAUCCAAAAAUUGGUAUCAGAGCCAAGGGUCAUAAGUUUGAGUCACAAGAGCGUCAUGUUGGGGGAGGGAUGUUGGGAUGCAACAAUCCUGCUCUUAAGCUCAGGGAUGGAUCACCCAAAUGAUGGCUAUUAGAACAAGCCCGCAGGGUGUGAUGUCAAAUGUCAUAAAAGGUUUGGCCUACCCUCACUAAACACCAAUUGGUUUUCAAAUGAGAUGCUCAAAGCCCACUCUUCUCUAUGUUCUUUCACUCUUUUUUUUUCCUCUCCCUUUUCUCUUUUAUAUUUCAAACCAAAUAAAUAAACCAUCCAAGGCUUUCAAUCAGAAGAUAAAAUCUACUAAGUAUAGCCCUGGUGGAGUAUAAGAACAAACAGAGAUUCAGACAUCACUAACCCUACAAUGAGAGGUUCAGGCAUGGUAAGUCCUCACACAAGAAUGCUAAGCACACAGCCUACAGCCAUUAAGCUUGAUGAAACUGGUUAUUAGGUAUAUGGAGUCAGUCAGCCUGGUAACAGGGCAACUUGGUUAUGUUAUGGGUUGGAUAGAAGAGCCGGAUGCCAAGAACUCUUGGGGAGACAAGAAUUCCUGCAAUUCUGUGGCAGCUUUUCUACAUGCAGUUGGAGAGAUAAGCAGUUUGUUUACAUUCCCAAUGAUCAUCAAAGAACCUUCAAAUCUUGUGGCCUAAAAUCUAUUCAAGUAACAAAUGUCUGUUGGUUGCAUAAGCUUAGAAAAAAAACAGGUGUGAUAGCAAGAUAGGUCAUUUACUGCAUAUGUUCAAGUUUUUACUUUAUUACAUGGAAUGUUUGACUGACUUCAAGUAUCCUGAUCUUCUCCAGCUUGCCCCAAUGACAAAGAGCUACAAGAAAGUUAAAUUGUCACAUAGUAUUCCAAAAACUUUUCUUCCCAAAAGACUACUCGUUAAUCAGGAUCCAAACUGUGGAGAGACUCAAAAAGCUGAUCCCCAACCAACUCCUUUGAUAGGGCAGGCAGCUUACUGCGUAGACAAACAAUAUGCUUGCCAGUGGCUACAAAGCUAAGCAGCAAAUGUCUAGCAAUGUCAAUAACUCAAGGCCCUCCCUUAUCCUGAGAGACUAUGGAGAGGAGUUGUUAAGUUGCCCUCCACCAGAAUAUUAGUAGAACCCAACACGGUUGCCCCCCUCAAACUUUUCUGUAAAGCUAGGAUAUCCACCUCAAUGGCUAGACCAAGACCUAGAGAAGGCUUUACUCUUCCUCAUCUGUCAUUGAAAAAUCUAUCCAUAGGGAACAACUGUUAAAAUUAACACGCAAUAAACCUUAUAGGGGAGAGACCAAUCACCCUCAUCACAGCUAUCCUUAUACAUUAACAGCAAGCCUCUGUCCAAUCCAACAAGAUCAAUCUGAUGGGAAUUCCAAAGAAGACUUUGGUAAAUAACAUCCAUAGCAAGGUGAUCUAAUAAAAAUUAUGGCACUAAUAGUCAAUAUACCUCCUAUUCUUGUGGAUCCUGAUGUCCAAUCAAGCCAAAUCACCCAAAAAAAUUAGCUAGCAUAAUCAACAAGCACAACAUUCUCCUCAAAAGCAUCAAACAGCAUUAACUGUAACAUCUCUGGUUUUUGUGUGUGUGCAUGUGCAUGUAGGUGGUUGGGGUUGGAGGUAUCAAUUGCAAGGCAACAAAACAAGGGAGGAGAAGAUUGUUUGCUCUGCUAUGAAUAAGCAUGACAAUUCCAACCAAGAAUAUAACCCCCUGAAUCAUUAUUGGAUGGUCUAAAAACCCCUAAUUAACUUGGUUGUUUCUAAGUCCACUUUGAAAAUCACCCUCUCUUUAUUAGAACAGGACUUUUCAUCCACAGUUUCAUUAGUUAUCAGCACUACAUGAAGACUAAGUCAACCCUCAAUAAAGGCCACCUGAGAAAAGGAGAUAAUCUCAUAAGGUACAUCACAAAACUUACUUGCGAAUUUAGCCAAACUCUUGUAUAAUUUUGUCACCAAACUAAUGGUUCUAAAGUAUUUAAUGAUGAAACUUUCUUGGAGUUAAGAAAUAUAGUGGAUUUGAUGCUCUUACUAAUGAUGCCAUUAUGGUAGAACCGUUCAAAAACUUUCAACAAAUCAUUUUUAGGCUCCUAGGGCUGGUUCUAAAGUAUUUAAUAAUGAAAGUUUCUUGGAGUUAAGAAAUAUAGGUGGAUCUGAUGCUCUUACUAAUGAUGCCAUUAUGGUAGAACUGUUCAAAAACUUUCAACAAAUCAUUUUUAGGCUGCUAGGGCUUUUUCCCUAUCCAUCUGAAAGAUAGCCUCUUUAAUCUCUCCUCUUGGAACAACCUCUCUGACCACCCUACCCUCUCCUCAAAUAUGGGAGACCAGUUCAACCUCUCAAAGCUCCAAUUCAUGGAACUCCUCUUAUAAAGGAUGUCAAGGAAUCUCAAGAUUACUCUCAAAAUAACAAGAAGAUCGAUUGAAAUAAGUCCAUCCUCUGCUAGAAGACAUGUACUUAUAAAAAUAUGUAUAUUUUGUAACUCCUAGGUUAGCAAAUUGACCUUCUAUCUAGCUUUACAGUCAAAGAGCAUUCAAAAUUCUGCAAAUCCAAGAAUCGAAUCUCUAAAGUCCGCUGCCAUCCUGGAAUAUUUAUGAAGAACAAUAGUUGAAUCUUUUUCAACAUGAAGGUUAGUAACACUCCACAAUGCCUCUCUGUGAAUCCCUCCGAUAAAGCUAUGAUCUCUACGUCAUACGCCACCUGAACUCUACCGGUUUAGGAAAGCUCUAACCACAAUCUCUUAUGGUCUCUAGAAACUCCUCAACAGGAUUUUCUUGGGACAAGUCACAUUUGCUUCAAACCUUAUUUGCACCAUCUGCAAAGAAGAGAAUGGCUACAACAUAUCUGUUCUCUAUCAUUGAUCUCGUGGGUAUUACUUGGCCUUUGUCUCCUCCCAUCUAUGGAUUGGUUAGAGCCUUCAGCUCUAAAAGAGAUGCCCAGCUCCUUAAAGAAAUAUAUGACCAUGAGUCCAACACUGGGUAAUGGAUCACCGGGCUCAAAUGUAACUAUCAAUAAGACUGUUAAUGUAGUGAAUCUAGUGAUCAUAGUAGGGAUCAUUACCAUUAGAUCUAUCACUCAAACAACUAGAAUUCUGACAGCUACAAAGUACUAAUAAAUAAAUAAAAACUUCUAAUUAACUCAGAAGAAUAAUUGUUCCCUCAGAAAUUUUCAAUAUCAAUAUGUAAGGAAUAACUGCUCCAAUUACUAUCUCUAACUAAAAAGUGUCAUCAUAAAUGAAAUUUUAAAUGUCUCUUAAUAAAUUAUCAAUGAUCCUAUAAAUUGAGCUGUUAGCAUCAUUUCAGUCGCUAAUGUUUAUUCCACAUAUCAUCCAAAAGUCAAUCUUCUCCUCACCAGUGUUUUCAAUAGGACAAGGACUGUCCACUAAUUUACUUAGCACAGUCUAUAUUCUAACUCAUUAGAAAAUGUUAAAUUGAAACAACCAUUUUUCCAUGGAUCUUUCUUACCUCCUAUUUUACAUUAAAAUAUAAUAGAUGAAUGGUCACUCAAUGAAAAAUCAUUUGAAUAUUCUAAUUUCUAUCAUAAUAGUAUAUAAAUCCAAUCAGUUCGGUAAUCAACUAAUAGUGAGUGAAUAUUAAAAGAAAUGGCUAAGUUUGUGGAAAUCCAGGAUAAUGUCAAUAUCUGAUACAAUAAGCCUCUUUAGAUUAUUAAAAACAAAAUAAAACAAAACAAAAGGACAGUUUCUCCCACACCCCGACAAUUUCGCAUCAAGAAAAGUUAAAAAAAUGAAGCAUCUACUUUCUCCUAAUGUAAUGAUAAGUUUCUAUUCCAAUAUGGAAUGAAAGUAUAAAAUACAGUAUGGAAGGAGUUGUGAUAUUUAGUUCAAUCUAUGGCUGAAACUACAAGAUAUAAAAAAAUACACCAAUCCUAAGGAUCCAGCUUAAUUGUUUAAACUUAGACUUUGUAUCAUAUAGCUAGGUAUGUAGCCAUCCAAAGUACACACAAUCAAAUGUUUGUAAUUGGCUCAAUCCUAAUAGUAACACAUUGGGCCAACUUCAAUUGCAAUUCAAAUAAGAAAACAAAUGAUAAUCACCAGAUUAUGUCAUUAGUGUUAUGCCAGUUGCUAGCAAUUCAAAUUUGAUCUCCCUCCAUACUUCACAUGCAGCAGCUAGUUUAGCUCUUCAUUUGUUAUCUUCACAAUAAUUUCAUUACUCUCAUGAGCAAGAUCAUAUCCCUCAUUAAAAGCUUGUGCACAUGCUUUUGGAGUUGUUUGAUUAGAUACAGCAUUGCAUUUUCCCAUGGUGCCCUAGUGUUCCUCCACUAAAUUGUAUUAUGGAGUCAUAACUUGUAAAAUAUAUCAAUUUUUUUUUAUGUAUCAAGUAUUCUAACUUGUUUUCAAAUGAAAAAAAUAAAAAGAAAGAAGAUAUGCUGGUACAUAUAUGAAUCACAUAUAUAUUGGAAAAAUGAAAUAUGGAGCAAUAUAUAACCAAUUCCAUGAAAAAUGGCAAGAUUAAAAGAGUUCAAAUAUAGACAUUUAUCAAUAACAUAUUUAUGAAAACAUCAAUACCAGAUUUUGACAAUUGAAGAUAACAAUGUAAGACAUCUUAAUAUUUAAAUUAUUAUAAAACUCACAAAAUAAAUCUUUUAAAUUUUUAACUCUAAUUUUCAGUUCCAAGUUUCAACAAGUCAUCUAUACUUAUACAUAUUGUUUGUAUCCAUAUGUUUAUGUGCCAUUUCAAAAUUCCAACUUUCCAAGCUCAUCAUUUUUUUAUCAGAAACAAAAAACGUAUUAAAUAUGGACAAAGAAAUACAAAAAAAGGAUGAAGAAUCCUCCUUAAAAUACAAUGAACUAAUCAAAAAGUAUGUUUGAAACCUCCAAAAUACUAAAUAGACCUAUAUAUCAGUACAGUACCACACGGGAAUAUAUAUAUUGAAAAGAAAAAACAACUUAAUGAGAGGAAUGCUCCUCUCCUUGCUACCCUAAACAUUUCGAUCCACACACCAAAUACCAAUCGAUCUGAAUUACAUUGAGAGGAAUGUCCUUAAAUGUUGUGGAGGGAAGAGGCCUAAAAAGAGGAGGAGAAAUGAAUGAGCUCCCAAAGAAUCUUUGAAGUCCUUACCUAGUCCUAAAAAAUCUUAACAUUUCUUUCCUGCUAAACAAACCAACUAACAUUAGACAAGCGAUUUCCAAAGAACUAUGCCUUAAAUGGAGCUCCCCAAGCCCUUAUAUGAGAUGGUCAUUAUGUCAUAAAUACUCCUCGAAGAAACCCAAUCUAGUUGGCUACUAUGAAUAGUUGAUGUCAUAACCUCAAAGUCAAUGGACAAUGUAAACAAAGAUGGCCCAUCAUUUCUUCACUCCAUACACAGUAGAUAUCAAGACCUAGGGUUUUGUAGGUUCUCCUUAACGGUAGCAUAUCAUAAUGUUUACCUUCUAGCAUGCCACUAGCCAAGUAAAGGCCUUGACCUUAGAUGAAACUUUAGAUUUCCAUAAAAAUGUAGCUAAUAGAAAGGAAUUGGAUUUGAAGGAUUGGAUAAGGCUAAAAAUAAAGACUUUACUGUAAAUAAUCAUAAAGAAGAUAAUAACCAAGCUCUCGUAUCGGGAACGAAUGGAAAUAAAUAUACACAAGUGAAAGAGGACAUGAGUCUUUCAAGAUCUUCUAUCUCCAAGUUAGAGAGGUUAUGGUGGAAAUUAAGUUUCCAAAAGAGAGGGAAAGAGAAGCCAAAAAUUGGUGAGAUAGGAAGAUUUUUAACUAUGACAAUUCUUAAUAAACUAAUUGCGAGUACAAAGGUUGACACCCUCCCCCUCCCCCUUCCCCAACCACCACCACAAAUCUUCCUUAAAAUGGAUUCUGAUCCUAUCACCCACAACAAAAUAAGUGUAUCUGGAAAAAUCCCGAAAGACAUUUGUAAUAGUCUUUCAGGGACAUUGAUGGAACCACCUAACUAUAAUGUUGGCGUCCUACCCAUCAAAGUAUGUCCUAUAGCUACUCUAAAUAACCCAAUGCCAAAGAGCAUAACUUUCUUUAGGAAACCUCCACUGUCACUUCCCUUAAAGAGCACAAUUCCUCAGAGGAAUCUUCCCAAACCCAUUUGCACCUUACAUUUGCAAACUAGGUCCCAACCAAUGAGAUGAUUUGUUUUACAAUCCCCAACCCAUAAUCAAAGAAAAUCCCUUUACAUUUUCUCAAUCUUUAACAACAUUAACAAUGAAAUUUUAAAAAGGGAAAGGAAAUAGCUAAGGAUGUGAGACAAGCACAACUCAAUGAGAGUUAUCCUUUUACCUAACAACAAAACAACUUUGUUUCCAUCCAUCUUCACAAAAUUCUUUCAAUCAAUAAAUCCCAAAAAACACUUGUCAUUGGGUUCCCCCCUAGAAAAAGACCAAGAUAGGGUAGACAUCAAUCAAAGACCUUGCAUUCAGGCAACAAGACCAACCUAGUGAUCUAAUCCUAGCCUAUGUUGAUGCAUAUUCUUGUCUAGAUUGAUUUAAGUCCAAAUAUGUGGCCAAAAAUCAACAAAAUUAGCUUGAGAUUUUGAAAAUCUACAUGACAAGCUUUAGAAAAAAAUGGUGUCAUCUGCAAAUUGCACAUGGGACACCUUAAUCCUACUCUUACCCAUAAGAAAGCCUUCUAAUAACCUGCUCUCAACAACAUCCUACUUAAAACAUUGACUACAAUGGUGAAGAGGAAAAGGGCUAGGGGAUAUCCUAAACGUCUAAUUGCUUUAACCCAACCUUUAGCAUUUCCGUUAAUUAAGAUUGCAAAAUUGGUUGUAGACAAGCAACCCCUCAUCUAAGUCCUUCAUCUAGUACUAAAUCCCUCAUUUUUGAGGAUAUAGUCCAAAAAACCCCAAUCCACAUGAUGAUAAGCCUUUUCAAAAUCAAAUUUGAAGACUACCCUUCCUCUCGAAAAUGCAUUUUCUUAUCCCCCAUCUCAUUAGCCAUCAACACUAUAUCCAGGAUUUCACUCCCUUAAAAAAAAAAUGCUCUUUGGGAAGCAUGAAUGGUUUCAUGAAGAAAAUUCAUAUAUCCCUUAAUAAAACUUUAGCUAUGAUAUUAUACAAAUAUAUGGUCAAGCUAAUAGGUCUGAAAUUUGAAAUCUUGUUGGUUUGACUCCUUUUUGGCAUAAGUGUUAUUACCCCAGUAUUGGAAACUCUUAAAACACACUUGAUAAAUCCUCCUUAAGCACAUCCUAACACUCUUGAAACAUUGCAAUGAUGAAACCUUCAAGCCUAGGAGCCUUGUCCUUAUCUAACUGAAAAAUGGUCAUGUGAAUCUCCUAUUCGGUAAAGGGGCAAUUCAACCAAAUAGCACUCUCUACAAAGAUGAGUGACCAAUCUAAACCUUCUCAGCUCUAAGACUUUCCAAGGGGACUCAAAUAUAACUUUUCAAAAAAAUCCAAUAUUUCCUCUAAUUACUUUCAAUGUUAUUUAGAAGUGCCUUUUCAUCAUUAGAGAACUUCUUAUUACAUCUACCAUUAACCAUCCUAUGGAAAAAUCUAGAGUUAAAAUCCCCUCACCCUAGCUUUUUGUCUUCAAUGCACCUCUUACCUUAACAACAUUUCCUCCAACUACCCCUUUCUCAAGGCCCUCAAAGCAGAGAGCUAGGGAGUUAGAUUCCUUUCUUGCUCAAUGACAUCAAUGCUAGCAAUAUAUAUAUAUAUAUAGAUAUAUAAUAUAUAUUUUAAUCAAAAUCAAUGCUAGUAAUAUUAGUAAGGAUAUUCUUCUUCCUCUCCUUUAACCCUAUGAAAGACACCCUAUUCCAUUCUUUCAGUUUCGAUUUAACAAAUUGUAGCUUCUUCAUGAACUUAUGACCUUCUCACCCUUCACUCUACAACUCCCUCCAACAAGUACUAAAUCUUUCCUUGAAAUCUGCAUGGAGCAACCACAUAGUCUCAAAUGUAAAAGAAGUUAGUCCCCACUUAAAAUGAUUGGCAUUUAAAAUAAUCAGGUAAUGAUCAAAAGUCAACCUAGGAAGAUCUUCUUGGAGACUUUAGGGAAAUCUUUGCUCCCAUUCAUUUGAAUAUAAAAAUAUAUCCAAUCUCUUGUAUACAAGGGAGUAUUGCAUAUUUGACCAAGUAUGGUAAAGAAUUGCCUAUAAAGAAUAAUCGGUAAAGAAUAAAUAUAUCAAGCAAAGUUUUCAAUCACCAUUGUAUUCAAGGUCAGAAUCUAAAUCAUUUAAAUAACAACAUUGUAAUAUUUAUUACAAGAAUAAAUUUACUUAAAUUUCAAACUUUCACGUGUGCUUUUAACAUGUGCUUAGAGUUUUCAAGCAAGAUUAUUUUACCUCUUUCUUUCCUUUUUAUCAUCCAUUUCUUUAAAGUAUAUUAUAAAUUAUUAACAUAAUAUUCUUCAUCUAAAGAAAAGUUUAUAAUUUCACAUAUUUUUUAUUAUAAGUCAUGUUUUGCAAUUUGUCAAAAGACUUUGGAAUGAAGACUUACUAGGGAUUUUUCUUUGAUAUCUUCCAAGAUGGAGCCUUUGGUUGAUGUUACAUGGAAAAAACCCUAAUUUUAUCAAAGAGUAGAGAUAUUACUAAUACUAUUCCUUUGUCUUUGACCUAUCACUAAUACUAUACCUCUGGUGUGCCCUACCACCCUAAAUCUUAUUGAUGGAAGCAUCUCAAUCUUUGUAUGGUUUCAUCAUUAAGUUUAUUCCUAUUACCAUUGAAAAUAUGGUUAGCAUUUCCAAAUUUGAGUGUGUUAGUGUCGAGUAUCACACAUGCCUUCACUCUUGAUAGGGCUACAUAAAGCCUUCACUUUGUUUGAAAUGUAAAGAAAUUCACUAGCAUGGUAAGAGCCAACUAAAGUUCAAGAUCUAGUUUAUCACCUAUAGGUUUGGAACCCUAAUCCUUUGCAACCUAUAAAUACCAGAUCUCUCAUCUUCCCAUUUGAGAACCUUAUCUCAUUGCAAAGCCAUUUUGAUUUCAAUGGCCAUCUCAAGAAUUUUUUUUCAAUCUUAUUUAUCAAAAGCUACUAAAAUAGCUAAUUAUAUUGUGUAGGACAACCAAUUUUGGAAAAUUGGUAGUUCAACAUGGUAUACCAUGUUAGACAACCACAAUCAACCUCUUUUAGGCUUACUUAAUAAAUUCAGGAUAUAAAUAUAUAGUAAUGAGAUUCAAAUAUAUUACCUCCCACCAAAUGAGACUUUGAUACCACGUGUAAGCCCCAAAGAUACAGGCUACAUAUAAAGGAGGGUGUUAGAGUGCAUGAUAUACAUUGUGGGCCCAAAGCCUACAAGUUCAAGCUUUUUGGAAAAUUGGUAGUUCAUUAUAUUGUUAUAUAGUACAUUCAAUCAUGUGUCAUAACCAUAUCAUAAAAUAUAGUUAAAUAAAAAAAUGAAAGGUGAUACGCAUCAUUUUACAUAAAGGAAUAUAUCAUGUCAUUAUAUCAUAUUAUAUAUCAUAAGUUUUUAAGAACUAUAGUGAAUAUCCUAACGUAAAUCCAUUAAACCAUCAUGCUUCUUUAACUAGAACUAUAUAUUGUACUUCAACCACUUAUAAACAUGAACUGCCUUUCUAAGGGUUUGGUUCUAAUGGAAACAAGGUUGGACUUGUGACAAAGAUCCAGCUGGCCCUUGGUCCUAUAAUCCUCAAGGCCUUCUUAAAAUUUAUGGACUUUAUUGGGCUUGGGGGCUUGGGUCUAGUUAAGUCCUUCAACCCACAAAUACCAUCUUAUAUUUUGGAGAAUUCUAAUUUUGAAUAGUUGUUCCUUUUUAAUUUCAAGUUUUCUUUUAAAUUACACCUGUUUUUUACUUUUUAUACAAGAUGGUUUGUAAAACAAAUACUCCAUCUAACAAUGUUUUUGGACACAUCUUUUGUUUUUUUUUUUUUCUUGACAAGUUAGAAACGCAUAUGCCAUCUAAAAUUCUACUAAAAAGUUACUGUAAUGCCAUAGGUGACAUAUACAGUUUUAAUAUAGGUUCUUUUAAAAAAAGAAAGUUACAUUAAAACCAUAGGUGGCACCUGUGAUUUUAAUGUAAAAUUUCUUUUUAAUGAAAAAAAAAAUACUAAAACCAUAGCUCCUACAUGCAAUUUUUUCAUAAUUUCUUUUAAAUUAUAAAACUAUAUUAUUUUUCUGAACCCAUAUGUCAGACCUGCAGUUUCCAGAGAAAAUUUUGAACCAGAAUUUUCUGAUUUUCACCUUCAUACGCUUGUAGUUGGAGGAUCCAAAUUUUUAUCAGUAGGAACCCACUUAAUUUCACCAUAAAAUUUUUAAGCCCAAUCCUAAUCAACUGUCCCAAACUGGCUUCUUUCUUCUCUUUCAAAAAUUAUGAACCUUCUCUUCCCUCCUUAACCACCUAAUCAAAUUUCCCUUUAAGAUGCAGCCAUGCCUCUCCCUACCUUUCACACUCGCUCGGUGAGUCUGCUCAGAAUUAUUUCUGGAUCCAGCAUCCUUCCUUAUCAUCUCCCCAUCCGCCAUCUCUGAAAUAGCCUCUGCAACAGCGGUGGGUUGCACCAUACAUGAGAUCCAGCAAUUAACAACUUCAAUCAGUGGUGGUAGCCACCUCCCUUCUUCCGUUUCAACAUAUAUCAAAGCAAUGGACAAUUCCAACAAAGAGUUUAUCUUAAGAUGGAUGUUGGAAAAUCGGCACACCAUUUUCUGAUUGUUUUAAGCAUUCCACUUGUCCAUAAAUGGAAAGGCAGUCUAAGAACUUCCAGCCACCCAUAUUAAAAGGUUGGACUGUUUUCCAUGUUGAUUGCCUUCAUCCAUCCAAGGGUAAAGACUUUCCUUUAAGAUUUCCAAAUCUUCAAUGUACUAAGCUCCAUUCACAUUUCGUAUGAUCCAACAAAAAGGGAUCUUCAACUGCUGAGACUUAUGGGAUUCAGCCAAGUAGCAAUUUGGCCUCUGAUAGUGAUGGUCUGAUCUAAUUAUCAUGAGGAUAUGCCUUAAUUAAUACCAUAACAUUAGGAAGGAUGGUAGAAUACAAAGUCAGAGCUAGGCCGAUCCUCAAUGAAAAAGAAAGCAAUGGUGUGUGGCACCCUAUGGUCUCAGCUAAGAUCAUCAAUGUGUGACCAAUCCACCAAUUAGUGUAGUUUGUUGCGCACAACUGCUCUUGACCACAAAGAAAAAAGCUCUUUGCCUUUUUGCAUUUUACAAGGAGAAUCUUUACCCAGCCUUCCAUUUUUCACCGAUGAUUUUCCUCUCUUAUAGGAGUGGGGAACACUAAUGAGGAAAUGAAGCUCAAAAUGUUCCAACCACUAUAAUUUAUUCACUAUUGAUAAUAGAUCAAAUCUUCUCCCUUUGUGAAAUCUCUCUGUCUCUUGUAAAUCGAUCCACUAAUGACAAUGAGAAAAAUUAAUUGCAAAAAGCUCAUCUCAACAUGCAAAUUUUAAUGACAUCAAGAAUAGGCUGGUUUUGGUUAUCUACUAUUGAUUAAUCAACCUUUAUGAGCCUCAUUUAAUAGGGAAAUAAUGGUUGGUGAAUACUAACAUAGAAUUUUUCUUCUCUAGUAUUCCUCUAAGAAAUGUACAUAAUAUUUACAAUCUAGGUUGACCUUCUAAGAUAAAAAAUGGAAACACUACUACCUAUUUAUAGAAUAAUUUUUUUGGUCACACACAACUAUACAACUCUAUUUUAGGAAGAAAAUAAAUACAAAAUAUUCAUAUGCAAUCUCAAUCAUAAUCCUAAGAUUAUAGCAGCAAAAUAUUUCAACAACCCCCCUUAAGCAGAUGCAAAAAUGUUUUGCAUCCCCAACUUGUCUAAGAACUUAUGAAAAAUAGUCCCUGAUGGUCCUUUGGUAAACACAUCAUCUGGUUAUUUGGUUGUCAAAAUGUAGGGUGUGCAUAUUAGUCCACUAUCUAAUUUUUCCUUAAUAAAGUGUCUAUCAAUCUCCACAUGUUUAGUUCUAUCAUGGUGAACAAGGUUGUGAGCUUUGCUUAUGGCCACUUUAUUAUCACAGUAAAGCCUCAUAGGAUCUUGAACUUUGCAGAUCUGUAAGCACCAUUUUUAACCAUAGUUAGCUCGCAAACCCUGCUUACCAUGGCCUAGAAUACAACUUCCGCACUUGACCAUGCCACUACUAAUUGCUUCUUAAUCCUCUAAGUGACUAAAUUUCCCUUAAUAGCAUACAAUACCAUGUUGUAGACUUCCUAUCAACGAGAGAACCUGCUCAAUCUACAUUUGUGUAGGCCUUUAGCCUUAGAUCACCAUGGUUAUGGUACAUUACUCCUUUGCCUGGGGAUGCUUUGAGGUACCUGAGUAUUCCAUAUACAACUUCUAAGUGGGAUUGUAAUGGUGAGUACAUGAAUUGACUCACAACACUAACCGCAUAUGUAAUGUUAGGUCUUGUGUGUGAUAGAUAGAUUAGUUUCCCUACAUCCUUUGAUAUGUCCUUUUGCCAACAGCUACUUCUUUCUUCUCCCCUAGUUUAUGGUUGACUUCAAUUGGUGUCUUGGCAAGCUUACAACCCAGAAAACUUGUCUACUUAAGGUGAUCAAGUACAUAUUUUUUCUGAGAAAUAAAUGUCCCCUGUUUUGACCUUGCAACUUCAAUUCCUAGGAAGUAUCUAGUCUUUAAUCAAAUUCAUUUGCAACGUAAGUUUACCAAUCUCUUCUAAAUUAUCUCCAAUUAUCACAAUAUCAUCAACCUAAACAAUUACAGUUGUUACCAUGCCUUGAGCAAAAUGUUUGAUGAAUAAAGUGUGGUUUCCUUGGCAUUAUUGAUAUCCCCUCUUGGUCAUUGACUUGGUAAAUCUUCUAACCAUGCCCAUGGAGAUUAUUUUAAUCCAUAUAGGGAUUUUUUAAGUUGACAUGCUUUAUUUACCCUUGUCUCGUGUGUAAAUCUAGGUGAAACAUCCAUAUACACCUCCUCGUUUAUGUCUCCAUGCAAAAAAGUGUUUUUUACAUCAAAUUGAUGUAAAGGCUAAUUUAAGUUGGCUACUAGGGACAACACCCUAACUAUAUUCAUCUUAGCUACUAGUGCAAAUGCAUCUAAGUAGUCAACCUUGCAUGUUUGAGUGUAUCCCUUUGCUACAAGUCUCACCUUGUACCUCUCCAAUGUACCAUCAGCUCUAUAUUUGACAGUAAAAAUCCAUCUGCAUCCAACUGUUCUUUUUCCCAUUUGGUAGACUCACCAUCUUCCAUGUAAUGUUUUUUGUCCAAGGUUCACAUUUCUUCUUUCAUAGCUUCCUUCCAUGGUUCCAUGCUCAUGGCCUCUAAAACGUUUUUUGCAAUUUCAUGAUUGGCUAAUUUAGUGAUGAAGGCACAAAAUUGGGGUGAGAGUUUUUGUAAAGACGCAAACUGAGAAAUAGGGGGAACAAUGCAAGACUGAGUCCCUUUUCUAAGUGCAAUAGGCAAAUCUAAGUCAUCAGAAUUAUUGGAAAACUGAUUAUCUCCUUUAAUACCUGUUUCAGAUUCAAGAAUUGGAUCAUUUGAAGUAACAGCGAGCUAUUUUUUUGAAAUAUGGAGGAAUGUUUUUAGAAGUGUGCUAACUUUAGUAUGGUCAGCAUUGCUAACUUCAGUAUGGUCAGAAUUAUUUUUCUGCUGACCAGAAUGAUCAGAAUAAUCUGAAGAAGCCCACCACCUACCUUCCAUACUCCCCCUUGAAGAUGGGUGUUCCCAUAGUAUAGUUGAUCUUCCACAAAGGUUCAAUCCCUUGUAACAUACCGUUUCUGAGUUGGUGGAUAAUAACACUUAUAUUUCCUUUUUUUUUAAGGGAAUACUCCACAAACAUAUAGCGAAGGGCUCUAGGAUCAAGUUUCCCUCUCAAGUGGUUGUGGAUAUGUACAUGAAAUAUGCAUCCAAAAAUUUUUGGAGGUAGUUUUCCAAUCUCUUGAAAAUUUGGAAAAAGUGUACUGAGUUUUUUAUUGGUUUUUGUAAUCAAUAAAACAGAAUGUUGUUAAAAUAGCAANNNNNNNNNNNNNNNNNNNNNNNNNNNNNNNNNNNNNNNNNNNNNNNNNNNNNNNNNNNNNNNNNNNNNNNNNNNNNNNNNNNNNNNNNNNNNNNNNNNNAAAAAACCCUUUUUGGGGGGGGGGGAAAAAAAACUUUUUUUUUCUUUUUUUUUAAAGGGAAUCCCCCCAAAAAAAUAGGGGAGGGGUUUUGGGAAAAAUUUUCCCUUCAAAGGGGUGGGGGAAAUGACCAAAAAAUUGCCCCCCAAAAUUUUUGGGGGGUUUUUUUCCAAUUUUUUAAAAAUUGGAAAAAAGGUUUAGGGUUUUUUUUUUGGUUUUUUAAAAAAAAAAAAAAAAAUUUUUUUAAAAAACAAAACCCCCCCCCCCCCCCCCCCCAAAAUGUUUUUUGCACAUCCAUUUCAAAUAGCAAGGCAUGGGCAACUUCUAAUAAGUGUCUGCUUUUACUUUCUGCAACCCCAUUUUUUUGGGGAGUGUCUACACAAGAAGAAUGAUGGAUUAUUCUUUUAUUUUCCAUAUAUUCAAUCAAACUUUGGUUGAAGCACUCCCUCCCAUUAUCGGUCCAAAGGGUACGUAUUUUGGUCCCAAAUCGAUUUUGAAUAAGACUGUGAAAGAUAGGAAAUACGAAUGAAACUUCUGAUUUAGAUUUUAGAAGAUGUAGAACGAGUACAAUCGUCUUUAAAUGUAACAAACCAUCAAGAACCAAAAUUAUUUGUAAUAUAGGAAGGACCCCACACAUCAAAGUGAUUUAAGCUAAACGGGAAGAAUUUGUAGAGUUAUUAAUUUGCAAUGGGAUAUGAUGGUGUUCAGUAAAAGUGCAACUUUCACAAUAAAAUUCAUUCAUAGAAAUAUUCUCAAACAAAGAUGGAAAUAGCUUUUUCAAGCUCAAGCAAGAGGGGUGGCCAAGACAUCUAUGCCAAGCAAGAUUUUAUUUAUUUUAGAAUAGUGACCAAGCCUUGAGGUUUAGGAUAAUCCUCUUCCCAACUAGUAUCUAGGUAGUACAACCCAUCUCUUAGUUCAGCAUGUCCAAUCUUCUUCUCCAUCAGAGAGUCUUGAAACAUACAACCAAUGGUUGUAAAAAUAACAUAAAUGUGUAAAUCUUGAGUGAGUUUUCCUAUUGACAACAAGUUGUAGGUUAGGUUGGAGACAUGAAGAACAGAGUUUAGGGUUAGAUUUGAUAUCAUUUUUAUUUUUCCUUUAUCAGCCAUAGGGGAAAAUGAUCCAUCUGCUAUCUGAAUGUUUUGGUUUCUAGAACAAGCAAAAUAGGUUGAAAAUAGUAUAGAAAAAUUGGUUAUAUGGUUUGAAGCACCUGAAUCAAUGAUCCAGGUGCAAGAACAAUUUGUCUAAGGCGUUUAAGGCAAAAAUAUUAUCCAUCAGGGCCAUUGAACAAGAACCCGUGGUCAGAAAUUCCAACUGCAACAACAAUUUUUUCAACCUCUCCACAUCUUCUUCAUUGAGAAAAUUCUCCAGUGAGUUUUCCACAGUAGCUAUUUGAUAGACCUGUGUAGAUUGUGCAACUUGAUUUCUCUUAUCUUCACCAAAAUUGAACCCUUUGUUCUCAGGCUGAGACUUUCCAUUAAGCCGCUAGCACAUCUCUGUUGUGUGACGAGGCUUAUUGCAAUAAUUGCACAUCUUAUCCUUGGCAAUGUUCUUUUUCCCAACAGUUUUUGAAGUAGCAAAUGCAGAGCUGUCUAACAUUGGGAGUUUGUUUUUAGGCUUCCUAAGCAUUAUACUUUUGCAUCCUUCUUCCCCUCGAAGAUAGGCAAAUACGUCACUUAUGGAAGGAAGAGGAAUUUUGCCUAAAACUCUACCACUUCAUCAAACUCCAAGAUCAAACCAACAAGGAAAUCAAAAAUCCUUUCUCUUUCAAUCAUUUCUCAGUUUUUUUGUGUCACUUCAUUUCCACAUCAUGAUACAAAUAUAAUUCAAGCCAAAUCCCUUCGAGAAGAUUAAAAUAAUUUGUGACCAAUCAGUUACUUUGCUUGGCAUUAGCGAUCUACUUCUUCAAGUCAUAUAGUCGAUCAGUGAUACCCCUCUUCGAGUAAGACAGUGUGACACCCUCCCAGAUCUCCUUUGCAAUUGUCAACAAGAGAUAAGUCUUGCUAAUCUCUAGUUGCAUGGAGUGUAAAAGAUAGGACAUAACCUUCGAACUUUCAACCUUCCAAUUUUCAUACUUAGGCCCAUCACCUGAAGAUUGUGGUGAUGUUCCUAAAAUAUACUUCAUUUUACUUUUGUAUUUCACAAAAAUCUGGGCAGAUUGGGACCAUUCCAUGAAAUUGUUCCCAUUCAAUUUGGAUGUGGUGAUUUGAAGAGUGGGGUUCAUCUCAUAGGAAUGAAUAGCAAGCUCAGCAGUGAUGUACAUGAGAGUGAUUUUUCCAAAGAUCUCUAACAUUUUCAAGAAUAAUAGUAAUGGAGAUAGAUAGAUUUAGGAAAGGGAAAAAUGGCAGUGAAGGCCAAGAACAAAAUGGACGAGAGAAAAAAAUCAGGUUUCAACCUGCUACGAUACCAUGAAAACUAAGAUGGAAUUUUUCUUCUCUCGUAUUCAUCUAAGAAAUGUACAUAAUAUAUUACAACCUAGGUUCACCUUCUAGGAUCAAAGAAAGGAAACACUACUACCUAUUUAUUGCAUAUCCUGACAACAAAAUCCUAAGUAUACAGAAUAAUUUUUUUGGUCAAAUACAACUAUACAGCUCUAUUUUAGGAAGAAAAUAAAUAUAAAAUAUUCAAACACAAUCCCAACAUUAUAGCAACAGAAUACUUAUAUUCAGCCUCUUGAUUAGAAAGUCAAUAGUUGUAUAUAGCAAUUUAAAUUAGGAAGUUAGAACAAGAAUUCCCCUGAUUUUUGGGAUAGAUUACUAAGAGUUAAUUUAUUUCCUUUUUUCAUUGUAUGGUUGCCUAUAAGAUGAACAAUUUUUCCUCUCAUCAAUAUACGAUUAUUCUCACAUAUGCCUAUGGUAUCAGACUUUAGGCGUUUUUCUAAAUAAAAGCUUGAGUUCAAGAAGUUACACAACUGCUGGUGUUUUUCUGCCACCAACAAAGAACCACCCUGAUUUGAAAAACAACCCCAAAUUCUUUUGUAUCCAACCAUGUCAGAAAGUUCUAAGGUGAGUAAUCAAUGGGUAUGUGAAGCAUCAACGGCUGAUCCUGGGGUGCAUAAUAAUUAAAAUGGGUAUGUGGCAGAACCUAGGAAGGCAAAAACUCACAAACCAUUCUCCAAUUAGGAUGGUGUUGCAGUGCAACUACUGUAAGAAAUCGAGGCAUACUAAGGGGACAUGUUAUGUUGGAAGCUUUAGGCAAAAACUUAAUCUUUUGAUUAGAAUAAUGGUAACUAAAGUGCAAUGAAUAGGCAGCGAGGAGAACAGGCACAUGUUGCACACUCUUAAGAAACAAGCCAAGAGAAGAAUGGAUCAAAUAGUUCCAAGAUUCACGAAUAUCCUGACUAAGGGACUUUCAAGUCAGAUUUUUCAAAUAAUUACUAACAAGCUGGGAAAAGAAAACAUCCAUUCACCAGCUUGAGGGGGAAUGUUGACUAAUCAACCUUUAUGACCCUUAUUUAACAAGGAAACAAUGGUUGGUAUUCAGCCUCUUAAUAGGAAAGAUAAUGGUUAUCUAUUGCAAUUUAAAUUAGGAAGUCAAAAUUAGAAUUCUCAUGACUUUUGGGAUAGAUUUCUAGGAGUUGAUUUUCCUUUUUUCAUUGUAUAGUAGCUACCGACUUUUCCUCAAAUCACCACACGAUUAUUCUCACAUAUGCCUAAAUCUCAAAGAAUCUAGCUCAUUUGCAAGAGGAACUUAUACAUUGGUUUUAAAGAGCCAAAGAAAUACCAUCCGUUAAUGUCUGAAGGAAAGUGGAAUUGAGAAAUCAUCACUAUGGUAUAAUAAAUCAUUCCCAUGGAGUUAGCAAUCACAAAGCAUGCUAGGGUCCGAUUAUGUUUUCUUUCGUCACAAAACUUUAUUCCACAUUUUUCUUUGCCCUUGUUCUUCUUUUUUCACAAAACUUUAUUCCACAUUUAUCUAGCAAAUACUUCAUAUAUACUUGGACUGAUAGUUGAAAACAUCAUGAUCAUGGGAUUUCAAAUGGUUUGCUAUUGAGUUUAGUUAGACCAGCAUCAUAACAAUGAUGAUUCUAAUUGAAAAGAAAAAGUAAUUUAAUAACCAGCCACGUGAACCACCCAAGUAACAUGCAUGUGAAAGGCAAUGACUAUGAUAGGUGCUUUUUCUUGCGUUCAAGCAAAAAUAUGCAUCCAUGUUCUAGCAACAUAUUUGGUAAGGACAUAACAAUAUAGCAUAGAAAGCUUCUGACAUACUUAUUCAAGAGUUUCUUUAUGUUGUCACGAGCUUGGCAAAGAAGAUCUAUGUUGUCAUAUAUCUGCAGGAAAACAAGAACAAGAAAAAAUGAGGCACUGAUCUCAUUAUUAAGGACAAUGUAGUUUUUGUACGAUGUUGCAAUGUCUUGUUCACAUUGUUGAUCAAUAAGAUGUCCAUGAUCAUUCGUCAGUGUGUGGCUCUAGCACAACAGAGUGAAACUUUGGAAACUCAGCAGUCAAGACACUGCAUCAUGGGUUAAACUAACAACAGAAGGAGCCUCACCCAAGAUAUUUAGCACUAUCAAGUGAUUCUUUCAUUGCCAGACAUUGAUCACCAAGAAAAAUCUAGGUCCAAAUUUGAAGAAACAUUGGCCUCUUGUACACAACAUGUGCUUAAUCACACCUAGGACCUUCAAAAGCCCAGAUUAACACUAAAACUUGCAACCUGACAUGGAAAUAUCAUCACAAUCACCAAGAUAAAAUAGAAAUAUUAGUGUAGGUGAAACCCUAAAAUGCCCUUAUUUAAGCUACUGUUAAGAGAGACAUAAAACUUUUUAAGUUCUUAAGCACAAUGCUAUUCAUUCCAAAGUUUUUGUGAACCCAACUAAUUCAAAUUCAAACUAAAUCCAAAUAUAUCAUUUAUAAAUUCCACAAAAAUUCCCUGCUCAUUCCCAUAAUGCAUUCAAUUUCUAUACUAUAAUUUAGCAAAUUAUAAAUGCAGUAACAACUGAUUUAAUUUCAAAUUAAAUGUCCAAGUAUUCCAUGAAUAAAUUCCAUAUACAUCUCCUCACUCAUUUCUAUAAACCAUUGAAUUUCUAUUUUGUAAUUUAGCAAAGGGCAAGGUGUGUAAAAACACAAAACCAUCAAAUUAAUUUUUAUCAAAAGCAUACAUAGCAACAACUUGUUGAAGAAAAUGAGAAGAAACCAUCCUUAUCAACAUGGUUAUUACAAACUUAAAAUACAUGUAUGAUAUAGAAUAUGAUACAUUUUUUAUGGAAAUCAAUUCAUGUUGCCAAUUCAUAUUUUAUCAUAAGUGUAUCUUGCAAUAUAUAUUUAUAAUAAGCAAUACAACAAUAUGUACAUCUUUAACUUUUUUUUAAAAUAGAAAAAGUCCAAAAGAAUUAUCAUAUUAAUUGUUUAAAAUGUAUUUUAAUUAAAAAUUAAUCAUAAACAGGAGAGAAAAGUAAAAAUAAAUCCUACAUGAAGAUGUCAAAGGCCCACGUGAAAUAUUGAAAGUUUGCUAAAUUCAUUCUUGUAGUGGAUGUUAGGGAAUUAUCAUUUGAAUGAUUUGAAUGUUGAUAUUGAAUAUAAUUGUGAUUGGUGAAUGAAAACUGUUGAAGAAAAUUGGGUCCUUUAAUUUAGGAGAUAUAAUACAGCUGUGAUAAGUCAAACUUUUUGUAUACUAAGAGUGUUCCUAAUUUAUAGGGAUUGUUACAGUUAGUUUUCAAUGAUAGAGUCUAUUUCCCCUUUAAAUUUUGAAUUUCCUAAAUAGGAUUAUGUAACCAAAUAAAUAUGUACCAUUUUUUCUACUUGAAUAAAGAAGAAAGUUUUUUACAAUUUAUCACAACAUGGUAUAAGCACAGUUUGCUCUUUAGGAAAUAUUUGGCCUUCUUUGGCCUUAAUCGCCUCUCUUUUUUUUUUUCUGCAUCUAAUCAGUUUGUUUCUGGUUUUGUCAAUGUCUGGUUUAUCAGACAUCACACCAGCCCCAUUAACCAAUAAAUCAUAACUAAAAAUUCAAUAAGUUUAUUUUUGUGGAUUUUUUUAUUAACCUAUACAUUAUUUUGUCAAAUUGAACUUUUGAAACGCUAGUAUUCAAUGUUUUCAUAUGAUAUGACAUAAUUUAGCUUUAUAAAUCCUAAUAUUUUUCAUGAAUUUUGUUAUCGGUUGCAUAGAUUGUGCUUCCAAUAUAUACGUAUUUCAUAUAUGUAUGUGUUUUUUUUCUAUCUAAUUUUUAUUAUGUAAAAAAACUUACAAUACAUGAUAGAUAUAAUACACAAUAUGGAGAAAUAGAAAAAGGAUACAUGAUACAUUUUACAAGUUAAAAACAUAUGCUUGUUAUCCAUCAACAAAGAAUAGGAAUUGUGUAAUUAACCUUAGAAGCUGCAAAGUUUGCAGAAAUUUGAUUAAAAGCCUGUGCAUUUUGCUCAAGAAGCCAUCCCAUUUCCCCACCAAUUGCUGCAAAUAGCAAAUAUCACAAAUAUUUGUAAGUAUAAAAGUGAUGCGUUUUCAUUUUUAUUUUUAUUUUUUUGGCUUGGCAAGAAAAAUAUGCAUCUAACUUACGAUUUUAUUAAUCCUAACCAAAUAACUAAGACAUGUACACCUCUUCAUGGAUAGACUAAAUUCAAGAAAAGAUACAAUUGAUUCUUGGUUUCCAUCUGGCCAUAUCAUGUUUUGAUCAAUGUCUGUAGUUACCACUUAGAUUCCUUGAGAAAUGAACAAAUUUGGAUCAUGCGAGAAGUGAAUACAUUCGACCAUAAAGAUUAGGGUUCAGGUUAAGCCACCAGAUCCAACUAACUUGAAACAACCCUAUUAAUUAGUCCUGUAAAUGGACCAGAUUUUGACAAAUCAGGGUGAUCCAAAUCCAGAUCCAAUCCAAUAAUGAAUACUAUCCAAUGCAAUCUAAUAAUUGAAAAAAUCAGGAAAGCAAAAAUCCAAAUGCGAAUCUGAAGGGCAACAUGUUUACUCUCUAGCAAUGGACAAAAGUGUUGAACAGUCAGUGUAACUUGGCAUUUCAAAAGAAGUGGAUUGAUGCAAGGACCUCUCUCUUCAUCUGAAAAAAUCAGUAAGUUUUGUGAUGCAUGAUCUUAAGUCAUCCCCGUUUCAGACCUCUCUGAGGCUUGUUUGUUGGUUGGAUAGGUUAAUAAGCCAUCAUGGUUGAUUGAAAAUUUUAACGAUGCGGCUGUUUCCCUUUUCAAAUCUUGGCAGAAGCAGAGAAUCACUGAUGUAGAGACUAGUUUGACUCAACUGGUCGAUGACAGGAGAGAGCACUGUAAUGGCUUCUCAAAGAAAGAAAUUGAAUGUGUGGCCUAGAAUAAUCUAUAUGAAUGGGCAUGCUGAGCCGAGAAAACGGAUCUGAAAAGUGGCUUCGAUUGAAGUUUUUAAGUCUAACAAGCGUUCAGUUAAGAAGGGAUUAAAUUUCGAAAUUAAAGCCUCCUGAUGGCAGAUCUAAGGCAGGCUUUUGAGGGUGCUUUGAGGGUCCGGGAUGCACCAAGCAUGUAAGGUGGGCAAAAAGGCUCUUUUUUUUUUCUUUUUUUAUAACUGAGGAACCUUCCAUGGCCAAGCUCUUAGGACUCUCGAUGGGGACCCAAACCUCAAGAACUUCUCCUAUCCAAUGUAAAAUAUCACAAUCAACCCCUCCCUCCUACUCUAUCAUGCAAACACAAUGUUCUCAUUAUGUGUAAUGGGAUCUGAUGGGAUUGUGGGGCCAGAUGGACAGAUACUUCUUAUAAGGUCUUAAACUAAGGUUAGGGAUUAGCUUUGAUACCAUUUUUUAAUAAUUCACUCCCCUCCAAUGUAGAUAUUAUCUGUUCUAGGCCCCAUGGCCUUAAAAUGUGUUUAUCACAUAUAUAGUACCAGAAACUUUUUCCUCCAUCCAAUGUGAGAUAUAACAUUUAUAAUCCAUAUUUCAUAUGCAUUUAAACCAAAGUCUAUCCAACUUUCCUUAGUCACAAGUUUCCAGACAAUACAAUCCAUGUAAUCUAAAACUAGCAGAUCUCCUCAUUCAGCAUUAGUGUAAAACUUAAUAUUGCUUAUGACAAUUAGAGCACAAGUUAAUAAGAAUCCGCCAUCAUAACUACCAAGUAAAGUAGAAAAUCAUUGCCAUUUAAUAAUGAAACAGGAUUCUUAUCAGUCAAAGAGCAUUAAAAUUUCUCCUCACCAAUCUUUCAUGGAAUUCUGUUUCUUCAAGAUGAAAAGUAAAGCACCAACCUUUAUAUGAUAUUUCAUCAUCUGCAUCCACAGGGAUCAGUGACAGGGCAUGCCGAGGACCAUUGGAAGCAGUUACUAGAGGAGAUGAUGACUUUGCUGAAGGAACUGCACCUUUUUCCUAAGAAACAAAUAUUAAAAAUUUAUUUGAGCAUCUAGGAGGAAUAACAACAGACAAAGAAUGGGAACAAGUAACACAGGUUGGUCAGAUAAAAAUUAGUCAAAUGUAAGAAAAAAAAGAACCUUUUAGCCUCUUAUACAUUUUUUUUUAUUCAGAAACAAGAGCUGUAUUAAUUACAUAUAAAGAGUUCAUGAGAGGGAUGAAGAAUCCUUCCCACAAAAAUACAAACCUGAUCUAAAGACUAAAAACCUCCACUAUACAAGGAGAUUAGUACAAAAAGAUGGAUCACAAAAGAAUGUACAAGGGCCCAUAUUUGAAUAUCUUGAAUUUUUUAGGAAAGUUGGUAGCUUAACACAGUAUCAGAGUUAUGGUUAACCGGAUACUUGGAUUCAAGUCUUUCCUACUGUUUAUUCCUCAUUUAUUUAUUUGCCUUUCGAUAUACAAGCAUCGGACCAUACAUAAAGGAGGGUGUUAGUUUGGAAUACAGUGUAGGUCUAUUUCCUAACAGCUUGAACUUUUAAGAAAGUUAGUAGCUUAACAGAAUCAAAAAACUAAUUUAAAUAUAAGACGGCACUAGGUUCAAGGUAAGGAUGUGAUGCUACAGCAAUAUCCUUCUAGUGCAAGUGGGGCACAUACAAAUAGGUAAAAUUUAUCAUUACAAUACUCUUGCAUGGGAAAUCUAGCAAAAAUUAAAUUAAUCUGAUGAACAUAACCAUCUGUUCUGUUGACAUUUUUGUACAUGGUCAGAAUAUGCUAAACAGCUCUAGACACCCCUACACUGCAAAUGGAUCAAAACAUCAAAUACAAGAUCCACACUACCACAAAUUUUAAGUGCCAUGAGUUGACAAUUUUUAGGGUCAUUCCAAAUGGAAUAAUUCCAUCAAGGAUUAGAGCAGUGAAAAUUAGUUUUGAAUCGAAUGAUAAAAUUAUCUGUUUUGUUGUAAUUUUUAAGAGAUGUUUCUCAGGUGCAAUCUGAAGGGCCAAACUAAAUCUUAGGUUGAGAGGUUGAGAGGUUGAGAAUUCAAGCUAGAUGCAAUACAGUAUGUUCAAUUAUAAGUACAAAUAUAACAUUAUGAUGUUCCUCUUUUACAGAAAGCAGAGAAAAUGCAUUAAUAAAAAUAAACAUGGGAAUAGGUUGAGGAAGGAUAAGCUAUCAUUCAACCAAUAAAAAAUGGAAGAUGAGAGAAAAGGACAACCGUCUGUAUAGCAGAAAUUUAUCCACAAAACACCUAACAUAUAGCCCAAAUGAUACUGCCAAACCUCAGGGAGGAAGGGAAUUCCCAACAGAAGUGUACAAAGAAAAGGCUCGUGCUAGGCCAACAUGUCAGCUACUUGGUUUAUGGAAGUAAGAUUCCAAUGGAAGGAGCAUUACAAGCCUCUAGAAAGGUCAAUACUCUUGUGAAUCCAAAAAUCCAGUUUCCAAUCCAAACUGAGAGGAACACCCAAAGACUCUCCUAGUCAUUGACUCACAAUGAGAGAAAAGGCAUUAAAGAAAUCCCAUAAGAGGUAUAGGAUCCCCCAUCAAUCUUUAAAGAUCCUUGAGAUUCUCUCAUUCUAGAUCCCCUAAAGAAUGACUAGCAUAUCCCCAAACCAGAAUUCACCCCGUAUGAUUCCCAAAACCAUAAAACACUAUAACUAACAAUGAUAUCUGCAGUCUCUGGGAAGAGUUCAAGAAAUAUGAAAUAUCUGCCAAUCUGCACAAUGUCCGCACAAAAUCAAAGCCUCCAGACAACAUAGAAAGAGGUGAUCUGUCAUCUCCCAACUAUCUAAACACAGCACACCAUCUACUAUUAAUAGCUUUAUGAGGCCUUCUAAUCUAUAACAAGUUAUACAAGUUACACCAACACCUAGGGAAAAUUUAGGUUUCCAAAUAAAAUUAGACUAGGGACAGAUAGAUGAUCUAGGACUCCUAUAGAAGGCAUAUUAGGACUUGAGGAAAAAAGGCCAAAGGAAACUAGAGUUGAACUAUCAUCAAGAAAGGAAGAAAGCAAUAUUUUAAAAGAGUAAAGGCAGUCCUGAGACAUUGUUCCUAAACAUAAGCCUCAACUUAAACAAAUAAAUAAUAAAAAUAUAUCAAAAAAUUUUAAAAAUAAUAAUAAUCAUAAAGUUACAAGAAAAUUGAAUGAAAAAAAAGGCAUAAACUUCAUAAGGAUAAAAUUAAUUAUUUGUCAUUGUUAAUAAUUUCUAAUUUUGUUCAUUUUCUCUCAUAAUUUUUUUUUUUUUUAUCACAAACGAAGAAAAUUAUAUUAAUAGAGGAAAAGAUACAGGAGAAAGAAGAGAUACAAGAGAAAGAGAAGAAACCAAAAGAAGGAUGAGAGGUCCUUCCCACAAAACAAAAACUGAACAAAAGAGAAAACACUCAAUUAAAGAAAACUAAAAACACAUAAAAAACCCAACACUCUCAAACUUUUGAAGCGCAAACCGCAGUUCAGUUAAGUUGUAAAACACUUAGAGGAACUCCUCUAAAAGUUGCAGUACACGAGGCCCAAAGAAAGGAAAAGAACAUAAUCAAGUCCUCUAACAUCUCUUCCGUUCUCCCCUUAUCCUCAAAGAUCCUAUUGUUUCUCUCUUGCCAUACCAUCCACAACAAAAUAAGGCAAGCGAUUUGCCAAAGUGUCUUGCCUCUUAAAAAGUUCCCCAAGCCUUUAAAAGCAAUAACCAACAUGUCCUCAAUACUCCUUGGAGGAACCCAAGCCAACCCUGCUAGAUUGAACAACUUGUGCCAAAGUCCAAUGGUAACAGGGCAAUGAAGAAAAAGGUGGUCUAUCGAUUCUCCAUUUCCUUUGCAAAGAAUGCACCAUUGAGGACAGAGGGAUUUGUAGGGUCUUCUCAAUUGCAACUUGUCAUUGGUGUUUAUCCUCCCAUGUGCUACUAACCAAGCAAGGGCCUUAACCUUUGAGAGGGCUUUUGAACUCCACAAGAACUUGGCCGGAAGGAACAAGAUAGGAUUUGAGACUUUUGACAAGGCCAAGAAAAAAGAUUUCACUGAAAACAUGUCUGAUGAUGACAAAGACCACUCUCUUGAAUCUGUCAAAAAAGGAGAGAAAAGCAUUGAACUAAGGGAAGACAUUAAACUCUGAAGAAGAUCAAUUUUUGAAUCAGUGAGAUUAUGGCGAAAAUUAAAAUUUCAAGACAGUGGAAAGGAAUUGCCAAGGACAUUUGAGACAAUGAGGUUUUUCACAGAAAUAACUCUAUAAAGACGAGCAAAUUGAAAGCACAAAGAUUGGUUACCCCACCAAUGAUCUUCCCAAAAACGAAUUAUUUCCCCAUUCCCCACCACUAGGUGGACAAAAGGGGAAAAAUCCUGGAAAACUUGAGCAAUAACCUUCCAAGGACAUCUGCGAGACCAUCUAACCACCAUGUUGGCGUCCCAUCCAUUAGGAUGUGUCCCAUACAUACUCGCAAUAACCUUAUGCCAAAGACCACUCCUUUCUCUAGGGAACCUCCAAAGUCAUUUCCCUAAGAGAGCAAUGUUCUCAGAGAAGUCUUCCCAAAACCCAAACCUCCCAACUCCUUUGGUCUACUAACAACAUCUCAUCUAAUAAGAUGAUCUUUCUUCCCUUUCCCCACCCCAGAUCAAAGAAAAUCCCUUUGCAACUUCUCGAUCUUUGAGGCUUGAUGCUGGGAUUUUGAAAAAGGAGAGGAAGUAGCUAAGGAUGUGAGACAGACUUGAUUGAAUUAAAGUAAUCCUCCCUCCCAGAGACAAAAAGGCAUUUUUCCAACCAUCCAACCUCCUCGAAAUUCUCUCAACCACCGGAUCCCAAAAACCUAUUGUCUUUGGGUUCCCUCCCAAAGGAAGGCCUAAAUAAGACAAAGGCCACUCUGACACUUUGUAAUCAAAAACUGAGGCUAAACUAGACAACAACUCCUGCCCAGUAUUAAUACCUGAAAUGGUGUUUUUUUCUAGGUUGAUUUUUAAAACUAAUACUUGCCCAAAAACCAAAAGGAUAAUCUUUAGGUUUUGAAGAUGUUCCAGAGAGGCUUUAGAGAAAAAGAUGGUAUCAUCUGCAAACUAUAACAGAAACACUUUAGUCCUAUCCCUCCCCACGAAGAAACCCUCAGUUAGCCCAGUUUCCUUUGCUCUGAUCAUCAACCUACUUAGAACAUCUGCUACUAAAGUAAAAAGGAAAAAAGAAAGGGGGUCUCCUUGUCUCAAACCUUUAAAGGCCUUAACCCAACCCUUUGCAUUCCCAUUUACCAAAUAGUUUUCAACAUUACUAUUACUAUUACUAAAAGGAUCCUCCAAGGAAUAGAAUCAUAUCCAAUUGCUACAUUGUAAUGUCUGUUGGUGUUAAUACCCAUCCAUCCUUCUUCUUCAUCCACCAAUUGUAGUGAUAAUUUUUUUUUUAUCUAUCAGUAAUUAGAAUUUUGUGCAUUAGACUUUCCUAUAAGAAGGAAACGUGUAUAGCUAUGUAAAUAAUUUUCAUCUUUGUUAAGAUUAUAUGGACAUACCAUCAGGAUACAAGGAGAAAGGACAAAAGAGCAAGGUAUGUAGAUUGAAAAAAAUCACCCUACGAAUUGAAAGGUUUACCAAAUCUAUGCUUGACAUAAGCUAUUCCCAAAGUCAAGGCAAUCACACCUUAUUCAUAAAACAAUCCUCAAUUGGGAGAGUUAUUGCCCUAAUUGUGCAUAUAGAUGACAUUAUAGUAACAAGUGAUGACAAUGAGAAGAAGUUAGGAUUGAAGGUCUAUCUGGCAAAAGAAUUUGAAAUCAAAUAUCUUGGAAUUUCGAGAUACAUUUUGGGAAUUGAAUUGUGGUUAGAUCUCAAUGGAGAAUUUAUUUUUUCUCCCAAUAGAAAUACACUUAAGAUCUCCUUCAAGAAAUGGGUAUGGAAAAUAGCAAUCCCAUUAACACUCUAAUUGAGGCUAAUCACGGGCUAGGUGAAAAACAAGAGAAGGAAGAACCUGUUGAUCAAGGUAUGUAUUAGAGAAUGGUUGGGAAGAUUAUUUGCCUAUUACACAUAAGACUAGAUAUAGCUUAUGUUGUGAGUGCAGUGAGUCAAUUUAUGCAUGCUCCUUUUAAACUACAUCUUGAAGCUAGUUACAAAAUUGUUAGAUACUUGAAAGGACCUCCAGGGAAAGGCCUCUUGUUUUAGAAAGAUGGGGAGCUUAAGUUAGAAGUAUAUACAAAUGUUGAUUGGUUGGCUUCAUUUCAAACAAAGAUCAACUGCCUGGUAUUGCAUCUUCUUAGGAGGGAAUUUGGUUACUUGGAGAAGCAAGAAACAACUGACAGUGACUCAUUCUGAUGCAAAGGCAAAGUUCAGGGCAAUGGCACAGAGGAUGUGUGAACUACUCAAUUUGAAGAUAAUACUCUUAGAUUUGCAAGUAGAGUAAAGAGUUCGAUAAUGCUUUAUAGUGACACUAAAGUGGCUAUAAACAUAGCACACAACCUAGUUCAACAUGACUAGACCAAGCACAUGGAGAUUGAUAGACAUUUUAUAAAAGAAAAGCUCAAGUCCGGACAAGGUUGCACUCCAUAUAUUUCAUCCUCCAACCAGCUUGUAGAUGUGCACACAAAAGGAUUAUCCUAUGCAAACUUUCAAUAAAUAAUUAGCAAGCUUGGAAUGCAAAAUAUCUUUGCAUUAACUUGAGGGGAAGUGCUAGAAUAGGAAAUUACUUUAUAGAAUAGGUAAUUAAUUUCAGUAAAUUAGCUAUAUAUUUCUGGUUGUAUCAUUCCAUUGAUUUAUAUCUUCAAUGUAUAGAGGUUAGGAUAUUUUCCUAGUUUAGUGCUCUACAUGUCAACUGUUGUGUUCUAUACAUCUUGUAAUAUUUUUUUUCCUAAGGAAUGAAUUACUUUUUCAUAUUUCUUUCACAAAUUCACACCCUUUCUAUCAAAACAUCAAAUAUUUCAAACAAAUUUCACGAUAUAGAAAUUUCUAAAGGAUAUUUUGAUGUGAUGCUAAAACUGAGUGGAAAAAAAAUGGAAAAACGAAAAAAGAACCAGGAACUCUACUUGAAUCAAUUUUUUUUUUUUUUUGAUAAGUAAAGCAAGAUAUAUUAAUGAAGAGGCGGAAAGUUACAAGUAUACAGGGGGUAUACAAAGCAACUACCCCCUCUCAAAGCAAAACAUAAGAUCAACAAGGCUCACCACCCCUUAAUUGGACGUUAACCAUUCCAAGAACCCUAUAAGGGACAUACGCUCCUCACCAAUAUACAAUCUAGCCCAGCUCCACAAACUACAAACAAAAGAAUUCUUAAGCUUUUGGAUAUCUAACACUCCCCCCCUAAAAGCUAGCCUAUUUCUUUCCUUCCAAACCGUCCAAAAAAUACACAACGGUAUGGAUUUCCAUAUCUUUUUCCUUUUCUUUCCUACAAAAGGGCCCCUCCAGCUAGUUAAGACCUCCUUUACAGUUUCUGGAAAGACCCACUGCACACCUAAUAACCCAAGAACAAUAUCCCACAGAACUCUGACCACUAUACAAUGAAUAAGAAUAUGAUUUACAGUUUCUUCUUCACAACCACAUAGAAAACAACAAUUAGGAAGCUGACAUCCUCUUUUCUGAAGUCUAUCAAGAGUGAGCACCCUCCCCCAUGUAGCCUCCCAAGCAUAGAAUGCAACCUUGGUUGGUACUGAAUCCACCCAAAUGCAUCUUGAUGGAAAAACAAUAUCAUUGGGUCUAGCCACCAAUCUAUAAGCUUCUUUGACCCUAAAUUUGCCAUUCCUUCCUCCCUUCCAACAAACUGAAUCUUCCUUCACAGAGGGCUUGUAAUCCCUCAGAACAUGUAGCAAGUUCCCUAUCAUAUGCAUCUCCCAAUCGUUAAAGUCCCUCAAAAAUCUUAGAUUCCACCCCCCUUGACCGAAAUUAUGAUCCCACAUCUCCUCCACCGUAGCAUUCCUAUGAGAAGCCAUAGCAAAUAGGUGGGGGAAAUUUUGGGACAGCCUUGUACCAUUACACCAAACAUCAAUCCAAAAAUUGAUUUUGCUUCCCUUCCCAACUAUUAACCCCAUGUUAUCCCAGCACCAAUCAGUUUCCUUCCAGAUUUCCUUCCACACCCCUACUCCGAACGCCCCAUAAGCCCUCUUUGCUCUCCAACCAUGACCUUCUUGCCCAUAUUUCGCCGUUAUCACUUGCUUCCAAAGAUUAUCUUUAUCAUAAGCAAAUCUCUAGAUCCAUUUACCAAGCAAAGCUUUGUUCAAGAGCAUUAGCUUUCUUAAGCCUAGUCCUCCCUUGCUCUUAUCCUCACAAAUCGCCUCCCACUUGAUUAGAUGAGCUUUCCUUUCCACACUUCCCCCUCCCCAAAGGAAAUCUCUUUGAACUUUAUCUAAUCUCCUAGCCACUGACUUAGGCAUCCGGAACAAAGACAUGUGAUAGAUUGGCAUGCUAGCCAAAGUGCUUCUUAUGAGAGUGAUUCUCCCCCCUUUGGAGAUAUAUUGUCGUUUCCAUCGUGCUAGUCUCCUCCUCACUUUCUCUUCCACCCCAUCCCAAACUGAAGGGGCUUUGUUAGGAGCCCCUAAUGGCAAGCCCAAGUAUUGAGAAGGCAGUGAGCCCACCCUACAUCCUAAUUCCACUGCCAUCUCCUCAAUCUCCUCCACCACACCAACUGGGAUAAUUUCACUUUUGUCCAAAUUAAUCCUUAGGCCUGAAGCUGCUUCAAACCACAAAAGAAUCCAGCUCAAAUGUGUUAGGUGCUCUUUGUUAGCCUCACAAAACACAAUUGUAUCAUUAGCAAAGAAGAGAUGGGAGAUUUUUAGAUUGUGUCUCCUAUCACCCUGAAUACUGAAACCUGAGAGGUAGCCCCCCGCAACUUGAAUCAAUUAUUAAUCUCAAGAUGAAUCAUCCCUCCUGCCACUAGAGACCCUCAAAUAAACACACACACACACACACACACACACAUAUAUAUGCACACACAGACAAGCAGACAUAAAUGAUAGUUACAGAGUUCAGUAUAAAGGGAGCCAUCAGUUAUAACAGAAAAGGUGAAGCAGCACAUUGCAAAUGUAAUCAAUGAUAACAUGCAGCUUUAGUCAGAAUACCUUUUUGUCUUUGUUUUUUCUUAUUGAAGUAUGAUCCUCUUUCCUUCUCUUGCCAUUUUCUGUUUGCAUCUACAAAAAUAAGAUCACUCAGACUGCUUAAAACAUGUUGUUAAUAGUUAACUUAUAAACAGACAAGUCUUAACUAGUAUUGUUCUUAUCAUGGGAAUCAGCCUAAAAGAUUAGCCUAAUUGAAUUUCUUUGUAAUUUAAAAUUUCUUGCUUCUACUCCAUGUUUCAAAGUUAAAAAUCCAAUACACUUUAUCUCACUAACAGCCUCUAUUGCACAAUUACUUAUUCCCUAAGAACAAUAAUUUGAGAGAAAAAUUCAAAAAAAAAAACUGAGGUAAGUAUAGGCAAGUGUAUAGAGCAACGAUCUAUUGGUCUAUGGAUGAUUUGCCCCUCACUCUAUCCCGCUGAUGUACUCUAUUGCACUAAUUAUUAUCCCCUAAAAGAAAUAAUUUGAGAGUAAAAUUUAAAAAAAAAAAAAAAAAACAAACAAGUUAACCAUGGGCAAGUUUACAGAGAAAUGAAUCUCCCCUGAUGCAAAGAUAACAUCCAUGAAAACCAAUUUGGAGAGUCUAUGCUUUAUUUAAUGAUCCUAUAGUCAUCAAGAAUAUUUAGCCACAGGAUAAAUGUGUUCACAUGAAAAUAGAAGAAUGGCCCAAAAGUAUUACAUGUUUACUACAUCAUUUAGUUCCUGACACUAAAUAUGCCAUAUAUGAUACACAUAUUAUGCAUGUAAUACAUAUCAUAUAAACAACACUCUAUUAUUUCUAUAGCUGAAAAAAAAAUACUUUAAAAAACUCUAAAAAUACUUUUUUAAUCAUUACACUAAAGGUACGAUAAAUGUAAAAGAAAGCAUCCAAAAGUUCUCUUCUACUUUCCCUCCUGAAAAUGAACCCAAUUUCUCCAUUUUCUCAAAAUACUAUUUAUUUAUUUCCUCUUCAGGAAACCAAUUAUCAUCCUUUCUUUGAAUAUAUGAACCAAUGUUUUAAAGAUAAAAUUUUACAAGUCCGGCAUUUCUGGAGACCUAAAAGAUAGAAUAUAUAUCACACUUUCUCUUGCAUAUUAGAAUUCAUACUAACAGGAAACAAGUAUAUUAUUGUACUUUUGCAGCCAUAUGUGGUUUUAUUAUAAGUGAAAUGAAGAGUUUUAUAAUUAAAUGGGUAAAAUUUAAAUCACACUUUAUUUAUGAACAAAGAUAUCCUGAGCUUUCUUCAAGCUUGCUAGAAAGGGCAGGCUAUAGAAGCAUAGGUUCAAUUUGUAGGUAAACGAGUUAGCUAUCAGUAUCAAGGUUAUGACUUCCAUUUUGAUGUGCUACUAGGUCAGCCAAGAAGCAGAAGUAUAUGAUGUUUUCUUGUAGAAUUCCAGUGAUGUAUUACUCAGUUAAGCAUAGCAUUAAGUAACACCUAACUGCCAAUUAAGACCAUCUCACAUUUGUUUGAUGCUAUAACUAUUUCUUGACAAAGCAUUUCCGUGUAGUGGAAUCAAACUUGAAAUUGUCUACAAGCUUUUAUGCAGCCAUAUCGUCAAACUAAGAAGAUGAAUACUGAAAUAGGCACCCAAGGGAGCUUGCAAUGGUCCUGUGGGGGUGGAUGAAUAAGACUCUUGCUAGCAGUUAAACUAAUAAGAUUUGGUCUCUAAGUCCAACCAAAAAACACCUAGGUGAUUUCAACGAAAGCUACCAAUGAAAAUAUUAAUUAACAACACUAUUACCACAAGUUACAAGAUUAAUACAACACUAGGUUAGCAAACACAAAUUACAAACACCCAAUUUACAAUAGUUCGGCAUCUCACCUACAUCAUUCCAGGUAUUCUCACUGGUAUUAAUUCACUAAACCAAUGGGUUUCCUCAGUUAACCCAAAAUCAUUACCACCUAGUGCAAAUCACAAGCACACCAUAAAUAAAAAUCUAAAUGUCAGUCAACAAUUUAGGGUGCAUCAGCCCUAAUCCAACUAACACUAAUGAACAACUAAACAUAAAGCAAUNNNNNNNNNNNNNNNNNNNNNNNNNNNNNNNNNNNNNNNNNNNNNNNNNNNNNNNNNNNNNNNNNNNNNNNNNNNNNNNNNNNNNNNNNNNNNNNNNNNNACACGAUGUCACUCUUUGACAGUCUGAAAAGCAAAUCAUACAAAUGAACUUCCAGUGAGAAUAUAGGACUUUUUAAGUUGGGCAUGAUGCUAGUUCCUUUUCUUUCAGGCAUGGUUAUGGCAAUUUGCAUCCAUGACAAAUCCCCAAAUACCCAUGGACAUCAAAGUAUACCAUGUAAACAAGGCCGCACUAAUUCAAGCAAUGACACAAUCAUGGCACCACCCCAACCAAGCACAACAGCUUCAGACCAGUUGUAGCAAGUAGCAACAUGACCUUGGUGUGGGCAAGGGACUGGAGCUUGUCAUGACCUUUGCACUAGCAUGGCCUUGCUAUUGGCAACAUAAGCAAAAGAUUAUGGGCCUUGUACAAAAUAGAGAUGACCAGAAAGACACUGCAGUGCAGUGUGGCUAGGAUCUUCAAAUGCUUUUUGAAUAUCACAAACAGCCCAUUAAAUUCAUUUUUAAAUAUCUAAAAGUGUGUAUUCUGAUUAAGAUGUUCAAUAGUGUAUUUAUAGGUUUAAAAGGAAUGGACUGCACCAAAGGUAACUCUAUGGGGUCAAGUCUCAAGUUGAGUUUUGAAACCACAGUUUAUCUUUUACAGGUCUCAAUAAAUUCAAUAAAAACAUACGUCCUCAACAACAUUAUAAACAAAAAGCAAUCAAUCAAUGGGACAUGGACAACUUACAAUCAUCCAUCUAACACGCAGUGCCACAUCUCGAGUUGUCUUGUCCUUCAGCAACAUGGCAAUCUUUGCAUACCGAAGGAGGGGUGGGUCUGAGGCAACUCUGCAAAAGAUUAUAUCAUCAUAUGCAUUAAGUGUCAAUGGUUCAUACGGAUCAAAGCCUAUCUUCACUUGUUUGAAGAGUCAAUCCAGAAGUUAUUAACCCAGUUGAUAUCAAUUGUUGGUUUAUUCUCUAACAACUUAAACUUUUGGGAUAAGUGGCAGUAAUUCAACAGAUAGAACCCACUGCAUGCAAGUUUAAAUGGAUUUUAAGCCCAUGAUUCAACCAUCAAUUUUGAUUACUUGUUUGCUUUUACAUGAUCAUUUCUUUCUUCUUUUCUUUUUUUCCUUAACAAUGAUUAACCAGGUUAAGUAAGCAGGGAACUCAGAGGUAUGCCCAUUUUCUUUGAAAGUAAUAAAACUUAGGAUUUACAAGGCAGGUUACUCAAUCAUGAACAAGAAGCAGAUUUCUCGGCCAAAAGAGACUUGCAAACAGAUAGCAGAGGACUUGCAAUUCAGCAUAUCUUUUCAUAACAAAAGGAGAUCGCCCCAUUUCAGCCUUUCCAUUAGGGUAACCACACGCAAAAAAAAGGAAAAUUUCCUUCUUCUUCUACUUUUAGAUAGGCAAAUAGGCAAAGAAGGUGCACAAAUCUGAUUGAAACAGUCACAUUCACUGCCCGGAACCGGAAGAUCAUUAUAGAUAUUCUCAAUCACGUUGUAAGUGAAUUAAAUUUGGGAAGAUCAUUAGAAUCUGAAAUCAAAACCAGUUCCGGGUGGGUUCCAAACCUAACAUGCAUAUGACAAAGCAGAAACUUCCAGAGAACCUAUCACCGCACAUUUAUGAUUUCAUUAUCUCAUCACAGAAAGAUAAAAGAAAUAUUGUAAGAGAAGCGUUUUCUUCCACCCACAAAUAAAAAACAAACGACAUAAGCAAACCAACAAACAAACAAAAGAGACAACAAUGACGUAUCACAGAGCAUUGAACCAGACAACAAUGCAAAACCAAACACACUUGCCCUAAAAUCCCCUGAUCAGAGAAACAGAAGCAAGAUAAAUUGUUGCAUCAAAUGAAAGGAAAAUCAAGCAUCAACGAUACACGCUGCAAACAGAGAAUUUGGAAUAGUCAACAAAAGGAGAAAACCCUAUUCUCUGUUUGGCUGGUGAGAAAAGGAUAGGAGAAAAACAGAGGAAUGAAGCAAGCACGAGUAUGGUUUUCUCAGAAACCAAACAAGAACCAAGAAAAAACAGAAGGGGGGGUCUCACUUGGGAAGCGUAUCUUCCAGUAUAGCCUGCUCUUCGGCAGUCCAGUGGAGGAAAAUUCCUGGGUUGUGCUUCAACCCCACAACUUCAACAACACCACUGUCAUUGCCACUGCCACUGCCACUAGCUCCACCACCACCACCACCAUUGAUGUUGAGAGGAGUAGAAGGAGGUGGAGAAUCUUCAUCCCCAACUGAGCUUGGAGUAAGAGCCAUCAAAGCCCACCAACAGAAAGCAAACAUGAUGGCAGAAGAGAGAAAGGUUGAGAUUGAGGCUGAGAAUGGGGGAGGGAAAGUGGAGAGCAAAUGGGUAUUUAUAUGUGUGAAUGUGGAUGUGGAGGCAGCAGCAUGCCAGCAUGUACUGUCAUGCGUACAAAUGCCUGUUUCUCACUGCCUUCCUUUUCGAACCUCCUGUUUUGAUACUAAAAAACAAGAUGGAAUUAAUAAUAAAAUCUCAUCUCUCACGUUUUCAAAAGCUUUGAGCAAUCACUUUCCAUGCACUUGUAUUUUUAUUAUUUUUCAAAAUUUAAAAAUAAUAAUAAUAUUUUUUAAUUACAUUUUUAUUGACAAAAUUAUCAACAAAAAAAAAGUUGGUUGAGCUAAGAUAAGUCUCCUCAAGAAUCACCUUUCUUCAUAACUUUUCAAAAUAAUUAAAAAAUAAAAAAUCAAGUAUAUCCUCAUGUUUUUCUUAAGUCAAAUAUAUUCCUAUUUUGUGUUUUUUCUAAUUUAUUAUUAUUAUUAUUAUUUUACAAAUAUAAAAUUAUUAUAUAUAAUCUAUCAAAAAUUAUAAUAAUAUAAAUACUAAUAUAUAUAAUAUUAUAAUUAAUUCUCAAAUUAUUGUCUCAUUAAUUAUUAUUAUUCUUAUUAUUAUUNNNNNNNNNNNNNNNNNNNNNNNNNNNNNNNNNNNNNNNNNNNNNNNNNNNNNNNNNNNNNNNNNNNNNNNNNNNNNNNNNNNNNNNNNNNNNNNNNNNNUUAUCCAUAGAGAUUUUAUAAUUAUAUUUUUUAUUAAUUUCCUUUACCAAAAAAAGAUUAUAAUAAAAAAAAUUAGUACGAUACUCCUAAAAAGUAAAAUUAAAUUAUGUCAAUACAUUUUGUUUUAUGUACUUUUAUUGUAAGGUCAAUAUAUAACCGUCGUACCUACAUCUAACAAAAAAAACCUAAUCGCAUUGGAAUCAUUGUCUUCUAUUAAGUCAUAUUUGAUUGACAGAUAUAGUAUGAAAUAAGAUAAGAGAUGAGAUAUUAUAUUUUAUCACAUAUUUGGUUGGUGAUGGGAUAUAAUAAGUUAUCUCAUCACAUAUCUUAUCUUAUAUUAAACUAAACAUGAGAUAGGAUAAACAAUGAAAUAUAUUAUUCACCGUAUUUUUUUUUAUCUCUUUUACAUUGGAUAUAUUAAUCUCAUGUUAACAUAUGGGAUAUGCAUAUCCCAUAUAUCAUAAAUUUAUUUUUUUAUUAAAUUUUUAUAUACUUAUUUUGUAAAAAAAAAAAAAUAGAUAUAUAUAUAUAUAUAUAUAAAUUAAAUUUAUGGUUAAAAAAGAAAAACUAAAAAAAUUAUAAACUAGUAUUAAUAUGUAAUAUAUAAAUUAUUUUUAUAUAUUGAAUAACAUAAUAUAAAAAAAUUUAUUUAUUAAUUUUUUUAUUUUAAUCAUGAAUAUCAUUAAAUAUAAGAGAAAUUUUAAAUUUUAAAAUAGAAAAUAUUAGAAUGUGAUAUAAUUUUUAUUCUAAACAUUGAAAAUAAUAUAUAUUUUAUAUUAUUUUUUAUUUAUUUCACAAAUUAAAUAUUUACAUAAUAUAACAUAACAUAUUUCAUUGGAUAUGUAUAUUCAUAAGAUAUGUAUAUUAAAUGAUAUCAUAUCUCAUUGAACAUCAUAUCAUAUGAAAUUUAUUUCCUAUCCAAUAGGUUCUUAGAUUUCUUUUAGUGAUGUAACAAUUUGUGAUUGAAUUUUUUUAUAUAUAAUAAUAUAUGGUAAAAUAUUUUUAAUGAUCAUUGGUUGACAUCAAUAGAUAAACCUUCAAGGCUUAUUUGGUAUGCGGAAAUAAGAAAUGAAAAUGAAUAUUUUAUUUCCAUUCUCAUUCCUCUUUUAAUAAAAAUAUAAUGAAUAUAUUUUCAUUCAAUUCCCACCAUUACACUUAAUUUCUCCCUUGACCUUGUUAUAAGAGAAGGGAGAGUUUUUUUCUUUGUUUAAGGUGGUUAAAGAGAACUCUUUCUAAAAGAUACGAGGUGAUAGUCUAAAGUCUUAAUCCUUAACAGGGUAUUUUAUAUGCUUUCUUUUGGGAUUACAUGACUUAAGCCCUAAUUAGGUUUAGGUUACCUAAUUUAGUCCACUUAGGUCAUGAUUAAUUAAUUAGUUUUGUUGGUCUUCCAUUGAUUAAUUAACUUAAUUCAAAAAGACAAUUCAUAAGAUGUUUUACAUCAUCAUGCUUUGAUUUAUUAGGUGGUUUAUAGAAUAAAUUAGGAGUAUCCUAUGAUUUAUUGAUUAUUAUAUAAAUGAAGUUUACUUUUUAGUUUAUUCUAAUAUAUAUAUAUAUAUAUUAAUUAUUGAUUAUUAGUGAUAUUUGUUAACGGUAGAUAAGUUGUUGAAUUUCACCAUCUUUAGAUCUUUAGUGGGGAUAAUGAUGUAGUCCAACUCUAGUCAAUAAAGGCGAUAUUGGUUCUUCAUAUACCGUUAAUUAAAAAUCGUUAUCUCCACCAUUAAGAGGAAUGGAUGAAAGUCAGCUAUCUAGUCUAAAUCUCACUAUUUGAGCAUAGUGUUAUUAUCAAUGUAUCAAAGUAAAACUACGUGUUUAUGAAAUUCUUUUGGAUAUGUUGUGGUUAUAUAAUGUAUUAUGUUCUUUUAUAUUUAAAGUUUCUAUUAUUCUACUUUUCAAGUACUAAAAAUGCAGGGUUUGGGAUGAGGACAACUUGUCCCAAACUCGCCUCAUUGUCAUCCCUAAUCAUAAGAUAAAAUUCGUUUUACUAGAGUUAUAAGUGGAACAUUCUUUUGCUAUUGAUAUCAUCAAUGAAAAUUUUGAAAUUAUUUUUCAUAUUUAAUUAAUGGAAAACAUAUUACAUUUCAAAAUUAUAUUUAAAUAAAAAUUAUAUUAUGUGAUUUUUUCAUUGAUUGAUUAAUUAUUAUGCUGGAUUGAUUUGUCUCACUCUAUAACAUGCAUGCAAUUAUUUUGUGUUCGUUUACUAACCUUUGUUUUUCAUGAAACAAUCAACCCAUUACUCAGGUACACUCUUUAUUUUUCUUAUUCAUUCGAUUAUUUUUAAAUUGAUAUUCUUUUGGUAUCCAUGUUUAAUCAAUUAGUUGUCACACUUGUUUGCUUCAUUUUAUUUAGUAGAUACCCCUUUUUACGGUUUUUACCGUACCUUCUCAAUAAGUAACCUGACCCCCAAGCCAAAAUCCGAUUUUUCACAAACCAUCUUUUCCAAAUAAAGAGUCACAUUUAGAGUUUUUUUUCUUAUUUUGUUUACUCUUUAGAAAUAAAACAAAAAUAAGUGGGGAUUCCAAGUCAUUUUCUAAAAAAUAAAUUAUUUUUCAAAAUAAAAAGUCAGUUCGACAUGGAAGCACAUGAGUAGAAAUAUGGGGUCCACAAUUAGAUUUGGUGGUUAUAUAAAAAUAUUAAAUAUUAUGUUAAAUAAUACAUAUAUUAGUAGUAUUUUAUAAUAUUUUUUUAAAAAAAAAAAUUCUAUCACAAUUAUUUGUUUUACAAAAUAAGUAAUGUAGAAAAUUUAAAAAUUAAUAAAAACUAUAAAUUUAUUAUUCAUGAUAUACCUAUGUCUAAUACCUUAUAUGAGUUAUAAAAAUAAAAAAGAUGAAUAAUAUAGGUCUGUUUGAAAACCGUUUCCCAUAACAAUUUUCUAUUAUCUUUCAAAACAAAAAGUUAAGAAAACAUGUUUAACAACUAAAAACUGUUAUCUAUUUUAUAUUUUCAAGAAUAGAAAAUAUGUUGUUUUCAAAGAACAUUUUAAAAUUAUUUUCUACCAUUUACACCUGUUUAAAGGUUGUUUUAAAAAAUAAAUAUACAAACAUAUAAAAUGAUUAAAAUAAAAAUAAUAAAUAUAAAAAAAAUAUUUUUAAAAUAUUAAAAAUAUGUUUAAACACAUUUUAAAUUUUCAAAUAGAUUUUUUUUUUUUUUACAAAACAUAAAAAACAGUUUUCAAAAACUAUUUUCAAAAGUUAUUUUUCAAAACAAAAAGUCAGGAAAGCAUUUUUGACAACUAAAAACGGUUAUAUUUUAUUUUUUCAAAAAUAUAAAAUAUGUUUUUAAAUUAUUUUCUACCAUUUACACAUGUUUAAAGGUUGUUUUAAAAAAUAAUUAUACAAACAUAUAAAAUGAUUAAAAAUAAAAAUAAUAAAUAUAAAAAUUAUUUUUAAAACAUAUUUAAAAUUUUAAAAAUAUGUUUAAACACAUUUUAAAUUUUCAAAUAUUUUUUUUUUUAUAAAACAUAAAAAACAAUAUUCAAAAACUAUUUUUCAUAAUUGUUUUUUAAAAUAGUUACCACAUAGGUCCUACAUCUCAUUACUUAUUCUAUUCUAGGAAAAUUCUACGGUGCCGGGGAAGGUAGCAUGCCUCGUUUUUUUUUUUUAGCCAUUGGAUGAAAGAGAUAGAGAUUAAAUCUGAGCCAUCCAAAAGAAAAAGAAAAAAUGAAAAAAAAAAAAAACUAGGUACCUAUUUCUCUCUCUCAACCCUUUUUCCUGUUUUUUCUCUCUCUUCCCUCCUAUUCUCUCCCCCUCUCAACCCCUUUUCCCGUUUUCCCCCUCUCUUCUCCUCCAUAGUCGGCCGUCUUCUCCUCCAUAGUCGGUUGUGUCCCCGUGCUUUCACCCAUUUUCCGUUUUCCUUCCACUUGUGUCCCCGUGCUCUCAUCUCCACUCGUCAUCCUCCAUAGUCGGGCGUGUAGUUGUUGUUCCCCAUCCUAUUCUCUCACCCAUUUCCCGUUUUUCCCCCCAUAAUUUGGUAUCUUCUCCACUCAUCCUCGACAGCCGGGUCGGGUUUCUAUUUUCUCUUUCUUUUACCGAGUUUCCUGAUAUUUUCCUCUCUUUUCCAUACUUGGCUUUCUCUGGGUACUUGUGUUUUCCACUCAUCUCCAUCGACUGUUAUUUUUAGGUGCUUUCAAUUGUCUUCGUGUAUUGUUGGAUCUUUUCGUGUUGUUGGGUGUUUUUGGGUGAGAUAUUGUAGCCGUUUCGGGUGACAUUUUUUUGAGUUCUGUCUUUUCUUCGUAUCUCCUCUGUUUAUGUCCAUAUUUAAUUUUCAUAUUUGGGGUUUUUUUUGGGUUUUGAAGUAAAGAGUGCAAUAUUCCCGCUUCCCCCUCUCCUCUCCAUAACCCUUGUAUUUUCUUCAUAUUUUAUAUUUUGUUUAAGGGAUGUUUUCGACUUAUAAAAAAAUGAAGAAUCCAUUUUUGCCUUUCCACACAAGUAAGCCAACACGACUUCCACAUCACCGUCUUUAAUUUCAAUUCUACGCAUUGCAUCAAUGUGAUUGUACAUAUCUUUUUGUGUGAAACCAACGUGCUGAUGUCCCCCCUGAUUGUUUGACCAUAUAGUCCAUAAUUUGUGUGGUUUUAACACCUAUUUUACACAAAACAUCAACUUGUGUCUUAUCUGGAUUACUUACUAUUCGAUGAGACCGAAGAAAUUGUGUGCUGAUAGCAUCGACCAAAUUAUGAUUUCCGAAAAAAUCCAAAUCCAAAAAUACUAAAAAAAAUUACUAAGGGUACGAAGAAUGUGAGGAAUCCUCACAUUCUUCGUACUCUCCAUAUUCUCCACUUGUUUGAAGUAUUUAAAAUUUUUUGGGACUUCAUAUUGCUUGAAUAUUAUUUAAAUAGUUCAUUACACUUAGGAGGUGUUCAAAUGAAUUCCGAAAAAAUCCAAAUCAUAAAAUACUAAAAAAUUAACAAGGGUACGAAAAAUGUGAGGAAUCUCACAUUCUUUGUACUCUCCUAAUUCUCCACUUCUUUGAACUUUUUAAUUUUUUUUGGGACUUGAUGUGGCUUGUAUAUUGUUUAAAUAAGUUCCUUACACUUAGGAGGUGGUCAAAUGAUUUCCGGAAAAAUCAAAAUCUAAAAAUACUAAAAAAUUAAUAAGGGUACAUUCGUACUCUCUUAAUUCUCCACUUCUUUGAACUUUUUAAAAAUUUUUGGGACUUCAUGUGGCUUGGAUAUUAUUUAAAUAAGUUCAUUACACAUAGGAGGUGGUCAAAUGAUUUCCGGAAAAAUCAAAAUCCAAAAAUACUAAAAAAUUAAGAAGGGUACGAAGAAUGUGAGGAAUCAUCACAUUUUUCGUACCCUCCCAAUUCUCCACUUCUUUGAACUUUUUAAAAUUUUUUGGGACUUCAUAUGACUUGAAUAUUGUUUAAAUAGGUUCACUACACUUAGGAGGUGUUUAAAUGAUUUUCGGAAAAAUCCAACUCCAAAAAUACUAAAAAAUUAUACAAGGGUACGAAGAAUGUGAGAAAUCCUCUCCAUUCUCUGCUUAUAUGAUGUUUUAAAAAUGUUUAGGGACUUCAUAUGACUUAAAUAUUGUUUAAAUUCAUUCAUUACACUGAGUAGGUGUUUAAAUGAUACCCAAAAAAAUCAAAAUCUAAAAAUACUAACAAAUUAGUAAGAGAAUCUCACAUUCUUCGUGUCCUCCUACUAUCCACUUAUUUGAUUUUUAUUUUUAUUUUUUAAAAAAUGGGAUUCCUUAUGACUUAAAAUAUUGUUCAGAUAAGUUGAGUACAUUUUGAGGCUGUGAAAUGGAUCGAAAAAUUCAAAAUGGAAAUCUACGGAAAAAAUCAAUGAGGGGUUUGGAUUUCUAUAUUGUUAGUAAUUAUACCUUUUUCGUAUUUUAAAUAUUUCAACCAAUUUUUUUAAAACGCUAAGAAAUAAUUUAGUCAUAUGUUCUCAAUUAAUAAUUAGUACACAACUAAUUUAAUUUUAAUUUAAUAUAUAUUUUAUAAAAUUUAUUUCUAUUUUUUCCCAUUUUUUUGACUUCAUAAAUCAAUUAUAUUGCUUUUCACACUUCAAAUAUUCGUCAAAUUUUGUCAACAAAUUAUUUGAUGUUAAAAUAAAUUAAAUUUACUUUUCCUUAAUUUAUAAAUUAUAUCACCAAAUUAUUUAUAAUUUUUUUUGUUUAUUUUAAAUUUAAUUUUUAUUUGGGGUUUAAUCACUUUAUAGUACAAAAAUAAAUAAACUGCAAUUUAUUUUUUCAAAAUUUUCUUUAUUUUUCUGUUUCAUAAAAAUUUUCCCCAAACAAAAUAAUUACAUUAAACAAAUUUAUAAUUGGUUAAUGUAAUAGAUGUAAUAAUGUGUGUUGCAUGGGAUUAAUUCCGAUGGCAACCGAUUGGGUAACCUUUUUUUAAUUUUGCAUGCUAUGUAUCUUAAUCAUAUUAUCAUAAAAAAGUGGGUAUGGUACCAAAAAGUGUUUUUCGUUACCCUAGCCUACCCCUCUAUUGAGAUAAAAUACAUAUUAUUUUUUAAGAGAAAAAUUAGAAGGGAAGAAAAAAUAAAUAAAAAUAAAAAUGGAUUUAAGAUUGAUAAAUUGUUUUUAUAAAAAUAUAUAAAAGUUAAACUAAAAAUAGAUUUAAAAUUAAUAAAUUAUUUUUACAUAUUACCUUGUACCAUGUAAGUUCUACUUUAUAUAUAUAUAAAUUAAAUAAUUUUAAAAUAUAUAAAUUUAUUAUUUUAUUUUUUAUUUGUUUUCGUUAUUUAGUUUCUUCUAUUUCCCUAGAAUUUAUGAACAGCGUAGAUUUAUGCUCGUUUUUAUUUAUUUAUUUUUAUUUUCUUUUUAUAUCUAUUUUUUCUCGCCAAUCAUGGCGCUAGAAAAUUAGAAAGCAAAAAAGAAAAGAAAAGGAAAAACAAAAAAGGGUGGGAUAUCGGGCACAGAUCUCCAUUGAAGUAAGGAUAAUGGGAAUGAUUGAAUAAUAAAAAAAAUAGAAACGAUAAAAACGUUGGUGCUGGCGGUGGUGGGCCUUUACUCCUUGACCCAACGCGGUGGUUGGACUUGUGGUGGAGAGAGACGGCCACACAAUAAAUCCCUCUCUCUGUUCUUCGUUCGACCUAUGGAUUCCAAUUCCAAUCCGCCCCAGCAGGGUGGUGAGUUUUCGAUUAUUCUUUUUCUUUAUUUUUGUUCAAUUAUCUUUGGUUUCGAUUUUGUUUAUUAUGUUAUCUAUGGUUGUUGCUACCCUUAGGGCUUUUGCAAAUCUGUAUUUUGAAGAAAUUUCUGUGGUUUUUUUUAUUUUAUUGAGUUGCUUGAUUCUCUUGAUUUCUGAUGUGGGUUUGGGAUAUUUUUAUCAUUCGCUGUUUCAUUACUGGGGUUUUUCAUUUUUUGAAGAAAUUUCGGGGGGUUUUGCUGCAUGUAUCGUUCAAUUCUCUUGAUUUCUGAUUUGGGUUUGGGGUUUUGAAUCAUGUGCUUUAGGUUUGUUCCUUAUAUGCUGGGAUUUUUAUUUUCUUUUGUCCCUUUCGACUUCAUCUUCUUCCUGGGUUUCUUAGUUUAGACCACCAGCUGAACCUCGCGGGGGUUAGUUGGGCGCUGUUUGUCUUGAAGGAGACAGUUCCUCAGAAAUUGCUUGUAGUAAAACUUUAAUUUCUUAAAUUUCUUAACCCAUUUGUUGNNNN
rnacentral:lncRNA from 1 species